rnacentral:lncRNA from 1 species
UAGUGAAAACGAUAGGAGCCAACUGGCAAUCUUGCUUAUUCACUAUAAAUAAACAAAACCGAAAACGCAACAUUAACUUUAUCACCAGGUAUUCCAGUCAUACAGCUCUAUCCGAAAAGAAACCAAUAAGAUUAGGAUAACCUUAGUGACUAAGCUUUGUCCCCAUUAGAGUCCAUAGCAAAAUAAAAACAACCCCAAUCAUGCAGUAUUUGCAUCCCCUUGGAGAUGGCAAGGGUAGAAGAUAAAGGAGGUGGAAUUCCAAUGUUAGUUGCAAUGAAAGGCCACCCGGGCACAGGAAAAUCCACCCUGGCCCACUCCUUAUCCUCCACCCUCAAAUUCCCUGUCAUCGACAAAGACGACGUGCGCGACAAGCUCCAAGCUCUCCAGUCCCACCCCGCCGCCGCUUCCUCCCUGCUCAACGACACGUCCUACAGCGUCGUCUGGCAAAUCGCGUCCACGCAGCUCCGCCUGGGCCUCAGCGUCAUCGUCGACUCGCCCCUCUCCCGUAGAGCCCACCUCGAGCACCUGACCCAGCUGGCGUCGUCGUGCGGGGCCCGCGUGCUGGUCGUGGAGUGCAAGCCUAAGGACGAGGCUGAGUGGCGCCGGAGGCUCGAGCGCCGCGCUGCGGCUGAGGGUGGAGCCGGAUGGCACAAGCCGUCCACGUGGGGGGAUAUGGUGAGGCUGUUGGAUGGGUACGGCGGGUGCACGGAAUAUGAUGUGGGCGAUGUUCCGAAGGUGGUUGUGGAUACGACGGCGGCUGUUGGAUUUGAGGAGAUUGUAUCCAAUGUGGUCGAGUUCAUUGAAACGCACAGUGGUCAGCCCAUGGCAUCUGAACACGAAGGAUAAAACUUAUGAAUUGGAAUAACAAUUAGGCUAAACAAAUAAUGUGGAAAUCCAAAGUACAAAUUAUAUAGGAAACUUCUGAGAUCUGAAAAUAUUGUCAUAUAAUUAAUCAAGCUCUUUUCUCUCUCCUUUUUAUGCCGAUUUUCUUAUCAUCUCUCCUUUUAAAUUUAUGUCACAUUAUCAGAACGCUCUUAAAGCUGAGUUAAAGAGAGUUUGACCAUCUUCAAUCAAAGGAGUAUUAUGUUUCAAUCAUAAGGGUUUUUGUCAUGAAUGGUCUAACUCAUCCUUUUGGUCCCAUAAUUUCCAAAUCGAUAAAUUUGGUCCCUGAAAUGUAGUGCCGCACAUCAACGUGCUCCUUCCGUCAAUAAUUCGUCAAAUUCUUCAUUAAAACUACACGUGACGACUCUUGUGGCCUUUUGGUGGAGGGCUUUACCUUUCCCCCAAUACUGUUUUCCUCUCUAGUUAGAGAGAUUUUAAAAAGCUAGGGUUUGGCAAAUUGGGGAUUUUGGCAAGAGAUAAUCAAUUCUCCUUAGAUUAGGACUCUCAAAUUUAGAAAUUUGUGGGGAAUCAUUGAACUUUGGUGGAUUGUGAGUAAAUUUUGUUGAAUUGUGAGCAUGUCUUAGAAAUUCCGCAAAUCUGGAAAACCUCCAAAAUAUGGUGAGUAUUAUUUAUCUUCUUUCCAUGAUUUAUUUAUACUUUUGAUGGUCCCAAUAGUCCUUAAUAUUUUUUAUAUGUGGUGGUGGGGUUUGUGUAGUUUGAGAUGGUGUGGGGUUAGUGUUGGUGGUGAAUAUGUUUAUAUAUGUGGUCUUGUUUCCUUUCUUUUGUCAUUUUGCAUUAAAGAUUGCAUAGUUUUAUUGAUAUGGAGUUUGGUUGUUGUGUAUUUUUAUUGUUUUAGUUUUCAUUGUAUGGCAUAGAUUUAGGGUUUUGACUGUAAAAUGUGGCAAAAGUAAUUGACUUAGAUUUAGAGAAUAAAAAACUAAUUGACGAUUUGCUUUACUAAUGUAUUAAUCAAUCUGUUGCAGCUAAUACUGAUAAAUUCACAUAUAACAAUUAUCACGAAGGUCAGGUUCUUAAGAAGGGAAAUAAGGAACACUACAUUAGAGGUGGUUAUAUUCUUAGAUUGGGUUCUUGGUGACUUCCAAUCCUUGGUAAAGUGUCACGAUAUAGCAAAGAAACUGGUAUAAGGUGAAGUUGAGCCACCAUAAAAUGUUGCAUGUGGGUACGUUUGAAGAAAUAGCAUGUGAUGCACAAGUGACAGAUUUAAUCGAGGACAUGCCAAAUGAUAAGGUAGUUGAAUUAUAUGUGAUUGACAAGAAUGUGAAGGCAAUUAGUAAAAGUGACAAGGGUGCUGCUUCAAGUAAUGGAGAUAAAGGCAACAAAUUACAAAGUGAAAGUGACAAGAGUCAAGCUUCAACAAAUGCGGAGAAGGCAAACAAAAUGGUACCUGCAAAUGUGUUAAUUGAUGUAGGUGUGGUGCAAGAGUUUGAGAUAACAUAAUCUUUAAGUUAGGAUGACAGAUUUCAUGAAUUUUGGCAAGAUGGGGAAUUCACAAUAGAAAAUCAAGGAGAAAAAGAAGAUUCUGCAACAAAAACUUAGGGAAAAAAUAGGGAUGAUGAAGAUGUUGAGGGAGAUGAAAGUGAACAACCUAAAAUGUGGAGGAAAUAAUCAAAAUAGUGAUUAUGACCAGGAUUCAGAUCAGGAAAUUGAACAUGCACACGAGAAUGUGUUAGAAGAUGAUUUGUUUGAAAAACAGGUAGACAACCCAAUUGAUUUUCCUUAUUAACACUAAGAUUUGUCAAUUGUAGCAUAUGAAAAUAAAGGUCUUUCCCGCAGAAGAUUGUUUUAUCUAACUACUUAAAAUGUCACAAAAACUGGUUGUUGUCCCUACUGACCAGCCAUUGAAAAAUAAUUAUUAGACUGACUUACACUAAUCUAAAGUCUACGAAAUUUUAUAAGCAAACACUAGACACACAGAGCUACACUUCUACAAAUAUUUGGGAUUUUUGGAUUAGAUUUGAUAUUUAAAUUAAAUCAAACAAAAACAGGACAGAAACAAAUUUUAAAUAGUUCAUAAAUUAAGAAAAACGAGUUAGGGGAAUUGCUAUCCACCACCAAAUAAUCAUGCAAACAUGUUAUGUUUCAUUCAAAUUCCUUUUAUUUCCGGAUGAAGAUGCUCAAGUUGGCUCAAUGUUAGAACUCAACCUAUUACUUUGUAUUACGUAGUAUGUUAAGAGAAUGGCGUUUUCAACUUAACUUAGUCCCUAGCAUGCAAUUUAGAAUGGCGUGUUUAUAGAUUUAACAAGUAUGAAUCAUUAAGAACGAAAAGAGUUUGAGUCAUCACAAGGCAUCGUUAGUACUGGGGUUGUCUUACUUAUCCGAGAAAUUGGUUCACAUGUUAAUCGCAAUUAACAAGUACUACUCUAGAACAUAUGUAGGUCCUCAUUCUAUAAGGGCAGGCACACACAUAUUCAUAGCAUUAGAAUCCUAGAUAUGUUUACUACGUAUGCAUCCAUAGAAAACAAAUAAAGAAUUCAUCAAUGAGACAAGUAGUGAACCAAUUUUCAUCCAUUCAUAAAAGUAAUUCAAACGAAAUGUCAUAACAAACUUGCAAUCAUAUUCGGGGCUUCAAAACAGCCCAUAACUACUAAAAAAUUAGUUACACACAAUCCUUAAAUAAAAACAAAAGAUAGACAUGAGUUUGAGAAGAUAGAACCGAAAGAAAUCGACUAAGGCCUCCUCCUCUCUUCCUUCCUUCCCCAAUGCUGCUUUUAAACCAAUUCUUGUUGCAUCAUUUUCUUCUCCUUAACUCACCCACUAAUAGCCAUUUAGUGAUGACAAUAAGUGAGAGGAAAUGUGGUAAAACAAUUGUAACACUUUAGGUAGCCUUUAUGCCAAUUACUCCCUCUUAAUCCUCAUUUUUAUUUCCAUUUCCUCUGAUAUUUGAAUAGGUGUCAGCUGACUUGUUCUUGGCUGCAUCAGUUUUGGCUGCUAGAUUUAUUGGGUUUAUUGCUUUCAUUGCAGUUACAAACUGCCCAGUCUCUUGUGAACCUUUCAGUGUUAAAACGGCCAUAACUUCUUCUACGAAAAUGAUAUUAACAAUCCGCGAAAUGCUCCAGACAAUAGACAUCCGUAGCUUUCCAAGCAUAUAAGGAUCAUUCUCUAAUUCAUUUUGAGCUGUUCGCAACUUGCUUCCAAAGUCAGCUGAUUUGCACAGGCAGUUUUGACGAAUUUGUUACUAAAAAUCCUACUUGUGCUAUUUUUCUUUUAUUUGCUUGACAAAUCCCACAAAACACAAAAACAAAGUAAAUAGCUCAAAAAUAUAAGGAACUAACUAAGAAAAGAGAAGUGAAUUUGAUGUAAAAUAUAUAUAAAUAUGAGCUUAUUAGUUUGCUGGGGAAAUUUCAGAUAAUGAAGCCAUUUCUUGGACCUUUCUUGGACCUUUAUAGCUUGGAAGCCCACACUUAUGAGGAAGAAGAUGGUGCUGAGGUGUCUAGCAAAAAGAAGAGGAAGAAACCUAUGCCUAAGGUUAAAUAAUGGCAUACAACUACAUAUUUGAAGAAUCCUGAUAUUUGCAUGGGUAUGUUGUUUUCUAAUAAACAACAGUUCAAGAAGGCAAUAGUAUACUAUACUAUGAAGAAUGAGCGAAAAGUUGCAUCUGUUCAAGGAGGCAAUAAUACCUUGUCCAACAUGCUCACUGAUCUUUAUAGGCAAACUAUUUAGCCCAGAUACUAAGAUCAUUAAUAGGCAAGUUAAUUAAUCGCCUACGAUCCUUACAGAUCCUCCAUUUUGUUCACAGCAGAUUCAAGGGAAUAUUUGCGAACUAAUCCAACCAAAAUACGAACCAUUUAAUUAUCUUCUAGUUUGGGUUGACGUAUCGACACAUUGGUUAUAUGUUUGUCCACACCCAAUGCUGCUUUGCUAGACUCUUGGCACCAAUUAUUUGGUUGCAGGCUCACCACCCCUACUAUCAUAAAGUCCAGAAGACUGACAUUACAAUUGAUAACUAGGUACAAGCAUAAAGUUUUGUACUUAUGGGUUUUGGGUGUACAUUUAUGUGUCAAAUGCGCCAUAUCAAUGUACCAAUACAAGUCCUUACAAAAGGUGAGUCAAUGUCAAUUAUGAUUCCCCUAAGCCCUUGCAAGCAAUCUUUUUACCUCUCAGUUAGCGGAUAGUCAUUUCAAUGAGACAGUCUUCCCGUCGUUAGGAAGAGAUAAGAACGUAAACUUUCUUGAAGAACAAAGCGAAUUAUCGUGGACAUCCCCACUGUGUCUCAUCCCAAUCCCUAUUCUAGAUUUACAUAAUGCUACUAGACGUUUUCUCUGAUCUAGUGAUAGUGACAAGAUCACAUAUACCAAUAGGAAACAUGCUUGCAAUGAUGAAUUUCUUUAACAAAUGUCUUUUUGUUCCCCAGAAUGGAGGACGUCCGUACGUCUUUUUGUUCCCUAGAAGAGAGGACGUCACGAUGCUACUAAGUGUGUGAGGAGAUUCCUAGCACCUAUUGGUCAAUCCUAGUACAUUGGCAGCUAGCCAAUCAAUCUGUCAUCCGGUGGAAGUGCAACAAAUCACUCGGUUCAAAUAAUUCACCUACUUAGAAGUAGAGGAACAUGGCACAAAAAAACUCAUUCCUCAAUCGUUGUAUUAAUCAUUUCCAUCUCAUGAGAUUAAUCUAGAUUACUCCCGAGACUUGAAGUUCUUGGUUCAAUAUACUAGUUUGGUGAGAUAUGGAAUUGAAAUAAGAUUAUCAUCGGUGAUGUUUCACUUAUAUUGUAUCUACCGACAUAAACGAAAAUCAACGAUAUCGAACCGCUUUUCGUUGAUUAGUGACAACGUGGAACUGAUUGGUCAACUAGAAAUAAACAAUCCAUGUCGAAUAAGAGGAUUGAAAUAGUGCGAUAUAAUGUCGCCUUAUGGCACAAGACUUAUCUCAUAUGCCUUGAAUUGAUUGCAGCACUAUAAAUGUGGUUAUAACAUAUCUCUAGGAUCCUGAUACGAAAUCCACAUAUACGAUUCUAGAAGAAUUACAUAUACUGGUUCAAAUAGUUAUAGGCCCCAAGACACCUUCUCAAUUUAGAUGAGGCUUUCACUUUAUGGAUGCAAAACAAUAUAGUCGAAUGUGGUAUACCCGUUUAAGUAAAUGUUGAUCAGUUAGGGAGAUAUGCCCCUGCGUGUACAAAAUUAAAAAUUGCUAGAGUUGUAGUUUAUGUCGAUGACAUACUAUCUCGCACCUGAAGUUGGAAUUUGAGAUAAAAGAUCUUGGAAAAAUUCGACACUAUCUCGGCUUGAAGUCCAACUACACCAAAUGGUGUUGCUAAGUAUACCCCUGAUUGUCCAUACGUUACAUGCAAAUGAGACCUUGGAGAUUCCAUAUAUAAGUGUAAUUAGCGUUUAUUGUACUUAACUUAGAGCAUUAGAUUAGACAUCUCAAGUGUUGAUAAUCUUUUGAUAAAAAGGUAGCACUACGCCUUCAUGCCACCACCAAAUUGGUGUUAAAAGACCUUUUUUAGCUAUCCUAAAAAUACUACGGAAUUGCGCUUAUCCCUACGCAUCCUGAGCAUAAUCAACCCCUUUGAUCAUCAGAAUGAUACUUGCCUUACUUUUUAUGUUAACGUUGGUUGUUUAUCAAACUCGCACAAGGCACAUUCCCAAAUGGUCAUGUAUUUACCGUUAAGGAACACGUCAAUAUCUUGGAGAUAAACCAAAUAGACCUUAGUUGUGAUGUCUUCAAGCUUGCACCAUAUACCACGCAACAUGAAUAGAGGAACAUCUUCGAAGCACCUGCAAUUUUCAUCCUUGGUUGAGUCCCAUUCAAGAACUAAGAAGUCAACACCAAACUUAUUGUGUCUACAUCAGUAUGAGCAUCAGAAGAUUGAAGUCAAGCAAUCCGAUCCCGGACAACCUUGUCGAUUUCUACAUGAAGUCGCUACCAAAGCUUACUUUCCAGAAGCUUGUCUGAGUAAUUGUAUGUGUAACUAUCUCAUUAGUAAUGCUUGUAGUUCUCAUUUGGAAGUUUUGUCAAACUCAAGGGAGUAUCCAGAAGUAUACUCACUUGAUCUUAAUGUACUCUUUUCCCCUACGAUUAGGAGUAUUUUUCCCACUGAGUUUUUGCUACAUGACUAGGUUUUGACAAGACACCCGUCUUGGAUUGGUCAUACCAUUGGGAGCGCUCUACUUGUAUCCACAAGAUGUAUAGUUUUGAUUUAAUGCAACUUCUCACUUUUCUCUUCAGACUAUGAGUGUUUAUCCCAUCUUGGGUUUUACCAUAGCAAGGUUUUGUGAGUAUUACUACCUAUGCAUUCUUCCAUUUGUUUUGAUACUCGCAUUCACUACUUGUGCCAACUAGACGAGACAAUUUCAUAUGUUUCUACAUUUACCUAAGGAUCUUAUGCUAUAUCUACUUGAGUAUUUGCACACUCAAUGGGGAGUAUUGUGAAUAUAUAUCAAGCACAUGUGUGGUUGUGUAAAUCAUUAGUCGAUUGUAUUUAGGAUAGUAGAAGAUUAUUCCCUUUCUGGGUAUAUUACUUCAAGGCAAGAAAUCCUCAUUGGUUUACUAUAUAUAUGGGCACAAGGUCUGAGGAAUAACACACAUAAUUCUUCAAGCCGAUUCUCCAUCUCUCUUUCUAUCUAUGACACACCCUCUAUUUUUCUCAAACAAAAAUAGGUCAUGGUAUUCAAUAUUUCAUGAUUGUUAACCAAACAUAAGAAUAAAAUAAUAGCCGCCUCAUAAAUGAUUAAUUUAUAUAUAUAAUUCUAUUCUGAUUUAUUCAAUCGCUAAUAAAAUUACGAAGAGUAUUGGAGAAAAAUAAAAGAAAGUGAAAAUGUUUCAAGUAAAAUAAGGCCAAUGUCAUCCCAAACCAAUGUCACAACAUAAGAGUAUCCUCAGUGAGGGGUUGUAUAUGGGGCUGGAAAAGUGGUGGAUAUAGAUCAUUUUAGAGCUCUGAGGAAUCUUUGGGGCUUUAUAAAAGAAUCUCUCCUAACGAGGGGCUAUUUCUUUCGGGCUUUGUAUAGGGCUAUAUAUAUUUAUUUAUGUCGAUAACUUUUUUUUUUGUGGUAACUUUUCUUAUGUUGAAUUUUGGACGUGAUAUCUUUUUCUUUUCUUUUUUUAAAUUUUUUUUUUGUGAACCUUUCAACCUAAAGAAGUUCAAAUUGUGACAAAGUUAGAUUUCAUCACUUAUGGACCGUUUGUUGGAUUAGAUUCUCUUAUCUUAAUCUCAUUCAUUGAAAUAUUCAAACCCUCACUUCGCCUUAUAAAAUAAUUUGAUUUUCAGGUACAUCACAACAAUUUACCUAGCACCAAUUGGUAAAUUAAUAUAAUACAAUUUUGAAAAAAAAAUUAUUUGAAAAUUUCACCCACCAAUGCCUAUGAACGUUAAAUUAAUUUAAAAUUUUAAUUCUUAUGGAAUUUAAAACAAUCAUUAAUUAGCCAAAUUGCAAGAAAAUAUGUAAGGAAAAGAAUUAUAAAAAAAAAGAAUAAAAGGAGAAUAUAAGUGUAUCCGAGAGAGUGAUAUAAUUUUAAUUACAUGGGUUGUCACCUUUUUUGUGAUGAUUGGAGUCACUAAAUAGAGAUGCUCUAAGAAAGUAGUACGUAAUAUCUAUUUUUAACCAAAAAUGAUUGUAGCCGCCUUGCCGGUAAUGAUGAUGGUCAUGUGUUCCCACGAUGGUCAUGUGUUCCCACGUCUGGGGAACUCAGUCCACCGAUCUGGGUCUGCCUCCCUCCCUUCUUGCGUUACACCCCACAAACCCAAAGAAAAAAGGAGGGAAAAUUCUUAAUCUCUUGAUUAAUCACUAUUUUAUUCUUAAUAUAGUCUGAACAUAUUAAUCUUAAUUAUUGAUGUAAAAUAUAUGGUGCUGAGUAUGCAGAAAAUGUGUUUACAUUAAAUUCUGUUGUUAACAAUACCCAUUGUGUUGAAUGUUUGUCUUGUUACUUCCAGUCAACCGUUUGCUCUGACCGGUUGCCUUCACAGUUCACAGCCACUUCCUUGUUUGCUUUCAGAGAGAGAGGGAGACAGGGAGGGACAGAGAGAGAAAGAGAGGAGAGAGAUAGAGAGAGACAAAGAGAGAGAGAGAGAGAGAGAGAGAGAGAGUGGGGCUUUUAUGCCCUAUUCCUUCAAAAUCUCAUUGAAUUUCAGGGCAUCAUCUUGAAAGCCCGAAGCUUUUUUUGGUCAAGUCUGAGGUCUUUCAAGCUCUUUGUCAAAAGGGUGUCCUUGUUUGCAAUCUUAAUCCAUUUUUCUCUGAAAUUUUCUCAAAAUUUUUCGGGGUUUUGAAUUUUUUACUCAUAUUUUUGUUCACUAUUGAAAGUUAGACGCUUUAGAUUUGAUGGGUUAUGAAGCUCAAGCCCAUAUUUCUCUGCCUGGAUAUGGAGGAUUCAUUGUCUCCAACUGGGUGCCUAGCUUUCUGUAUAAUUAAAAAUUAAUCCUUUUGCUUAUUAUUAUUUUUUUUUUUGGAUUUUGAUCAAUGUUUCCGCAACUGGGUAAUUCCUGGAAUUAAGUUUGGACUUUUUGAGAAAUUGGGUAAUUUUGGUUCAGAAUAUUUCUCGCUUUUGAUAGUUCUGAGCAAUUUUACUGUGUUUGGAGAAAUCGGGUACUUUUUGAUAUGAUUUCUCCGUAGGAUUGUGCAGUUUGCGCAGGAGAAUCAACCCGAUUUCGGGUUCUCUUAAUAGGGUGGUUUUGGGGGUUGUUGGAUCAUUUAUUCAUAGCAUUUGUUAAGCUUAGACAGAACUGCAUAGAUUUUGGAAGCCAUGGAUAACGUCAAUGAACUGUCAUCAUCCCUGAGCUUUUCCUCCUCCUCCUCCUAUCUGUCAAAUGGGUCCAGUAGUAACCAUGUAUCUGCCUCUGCCUCGGCCAGUUCUCAAAGUAUUGAACAUUAUUUGAGUCUAAGCAAACUGAGUGAUAAUCUUGAGAGACUGUUACUUGAUCAUGAGUAUGACUAUAGUGAUGCUGAGAUUGUUGUUGAGAGAAACACCGUGGGUGUCAAUCGGUGUAUAUUGGCUUCCCGGAGUCAGUUUUUUCAGUACCUUUUUAGGAAGGGGAGUGAUGAUGCGAAGACGGAAGGUAAACCGAGGUAUCUCAUGUCUGAAUUGGUUCCAAACGGCAGGGUUGGCCACGAAGCCUUCAAGGUUUUCUUGAGCUAUUUGUACACUGGGAAGCUUAAUCCAUCUUCUGGAGAAGUAUCCACGUGUGUUGAUGAUCGUUGUCCGCAUGAUGCGUGCGGCCCUGCUAUCAGUUACGCUGUGGAAUUGAUGUAUGCUUCUUCCACUUUCCAGAUGAAGGAGCUUGUUCAGCUUGUUCAGGUUUGUUCAAACUUUGACUUCUUGUGUUGCUCUUUUGCGAAUGAUUGUGUGCCGUGCAGGGUAAUUGUUUGUGUUCUCUCUUUGUCGACUUGCAAUUUGUUGCAGACUCUUUAUACUUACAGCCUGAAAACUUUGCAGACUCUUUAUAAUUGAUCAAGGCCCGGUCGAAACCUAGAAAAUCAGAAAAGGGCAUUUUCUAACUUGAUACAGUUUAUGAAGACCACUUGCUUGCCUACCCAAGGGUCAAGUGGUAUAGACUGACCAGCUACACAGCCCAUAAAGUACUUUAUGGUGGCAUUACAUGUAAAAUAGCUGAUGAGUCAUCACCCUCAAACCGCAUUCGGGCAAGGCUGCUGCUACAAGAGGCCAAACCGAGUUGACUAUAAAAGGAGAAAGAGAAGCCAUGAAUAAUGACACUCAAUCAAACAAACAAAUGCAAGCACAAACUCUUCUCAAAGCCAGAUUUGCCUUCAAAACGAAGCUGUAGUCAGCCCAAGCCUUCAUCCCUCUCGGGACAAGCUUUUAUCCCUCGCGGGAUAACCUUUCCUUCAAACCUUUGUAAUAGCUCUGCUACCCUGCCCAAACUUGGUGUAGUAUCGAUUCACUUUUUGUAUCUCUCUCUCUCCCUCUCUUUCUCUAAGCUUUCAGACCUUUGACAAAACUACAAAGAUAGGGACCUGCAAGACGAUCAGCCUUAACUGAUAAGGUUUAACCUUGCCCGACCUUCUUUGUUUUGUUUUUGUCUUUUCAUUCUUUAAAGCCUAGUAAUAUGUUGUAUACUUCCAAUUAUAUGCAAGUUAUUUCUAGCGAGGACUAUUAAAACGCUUUCUCAGUAUUUGGAUCCGAUUUGAAUAUAUCUUCAGUGUUCAAACUAGAUCCAAAGUCCUAAGCCCUCGGGCGUGUAAAUCUGAUCAAUUAAAAGUCCUUGGUCUCAAGGCAUAAAAAAGAACUUUAUGUGGACUUAACCCAUCCAUGACAGUCCUUGAUAAACGAGAAGUCCGAAGUUACUUGGGGCGCAAGUAAUCGACCUACCUCUUUGUUUUGUUUCUAUUAUAUUAUGAUUAUCGUAGAACACUUAAGCAUGGAAUGAAUUCUGAUGGGAAGCCUCAAGGCCUACACCUAAGGCCCCACGAAGGCACCUAUUUGGAUUCAUUCCGUCUUGCGAUCUAGAAUGUUUGAGUAUUAGAACGAACUCCAAUGGGAAGCCUCAAGGCCUACACCUAAGGCCCCACAAAGGCACUUAUUUGGGUUCGUCCUACCUCUCAAACUCGGGUAAUCAGAAGUAUAAUAGUUAUAAGACUCCUGCAAUCACGAGACCAAAUAUGAUGUGUUCGAGCACUGGUUUAGUUUGAUAGGAAGCCUCAAGGCCUAUACCUAAGGCCCCACAAAGGCACCUGUCACAUCUAACACGGCUUCUCGGGUAUAUACAUAUUUACAACGAAAACGCGACAUGCAUUCUACAUCUGCCAUACUACAGAUGGCAGUGGCACGCCUGAGCACCUCAAAGUUAAUCUUGAUUGUGAGUCUCAAGGCCUACAACUAAGGCCCCACAAAGGCACCUUUCAAAUUAACUAUGUCAUUCUCUUUCAGCCUUGCCCGACGAGCCUUGCCCGACGAGACUUGCCCGAUAAAGACUUGCCCGACCAAGCCCGAUAGUGAAAUAGAAGCCCGACAGCAGCCCUCAACCGGCGACAACCUCCCGGGGAGCUGUGUGCUCGUCGGCCAGGAACCAUCCCCGACGGAAAUUCCUGACACGAACAAGAGUAAUAUAAUUUUGAUCACAUGAGUUGUUACUUUUUUGUGAUGAUUGGAGUUCCUAAACAGAAAUGCUCUAAGAAAGUAGUACGUAAUAUCAAUGGUUGCUAUUUUCAACCAAAAAUGAUUGUAGCCGCCUUGCCUUGCCGGUAAUGAUGAUGGUCAUGUGUUCCCACGUCUGGGGAACUCAGUCAACCGAUCUGGGUCUGCCUCCCUCCCUUCUUGCGUUACACCCCACAAACCCAAAGAAAAAAGGAGGGAAAAUUCUUAAUCUCUUGAUUAAUCACUAUUUUAUUCUUAAUAUAGUCUGAUAACAUAUUAAUCUUAAUUAUUGAUGUAAAAUAUAUGGCGCUGAGUAUGCAGACAAUGUGUUUACAUUAAAUUCUGUUGUUAAAAAUACCCAUUUUGUUGAAUGUUUAUCUUGUUACUUCCAGUCAACCGUUUGGUCUGACCAGUUGCCUUCACAGUUCUCAGCAACUUCCUUGUUUGCUUUCAGAGAGAGAGAGAGAGAGAGGGAGACAGGGUGGGUGUUAAGAACCUGCUCAACCUGUACAAUGUAGCAAGGAAGAUAUGGAGUGGAAGAGGUAGAAGACGAGCACGAAACUCGUGUGAAUUUCAAUUAAUAAUACUCAAAUAUUAGUCUGAGGAGCAAUGAGGCCAUUGCUCCAUUUAAGUAGCCUUUCCACUCAGAAAUGCCAACUCAGCAUUCCAUUACAUAACCACUCACUAAAGGACAAACCCUUUUAUUUACUAAACUGAAAUUACAACAAAAGGAAUAAAAUGCAUUUCCUAACAUCACUCCCUCCUUAAAAUCAACCUUGUCCACAAGGUUUCAGAGCUGAAAUGUUGGGAAUCUGGCAUGAAAAUCAUCAUAAUCCUCCCAAGUAGCUGUGCUCUCUUCUUGUCCAACCCACUGUACUAGCAACUGAACACCUGCCUUGUCUUCCUUCUUGUAAAUUCUCCUGGCAAUAUUGCCAAAGGAGCAUCUGAUGGAUGAGAGUCUCGCAUCUGAGCUUCAUCUGUCAGUGUUGGCAGAGCUGUUAUGGUUGAAUCCACAUUUCCCAUGUGCCUCUUGAGGCAGCUGACAUGAAAAACAGGAUGGAUUUUUGUUCCCUCAGGUAGUUUGAGUUUGUAAGCAACAGGUCCUACUCUCUCCAAUACCUCAUAAGGACCGUAGUAUCGAGGGUGUAGCUUGUGAUAAGCAUGUGAAGCCAAUGUUUGCAACUGAUAUGGCAGUAGCUUGAGAUAGACUAAGUCACCAACAAAAAACUCUCUCUCAGUCCUUUUCUUGUUUGCAUGAACUGCCAUUCGAUUCUGAGCCAUUGCUAAGUUAGACCUGAGUAUGGUAAGCAACUUAUCCCUCUCAAUCAACUCUUGUUCCACCGAAUCCAUUUUUGCAGUACCUAACUCAUAAGAAGUAACAUGAGGAGGAGGGUACCCAUAUACCAAUUCAAAUGGAGUAAAUUUUGAAGAAGUAUGAUAGGAAGUAUUAUAGUUCCACUCUGCCCAUGGUAACCAUUUGACCCAAUUCUUAGGUUUGUUUCCCACAAAGCACCUCAGAUAUGUUUCAACACACCUAUUGACCACCUCAGUUUGUCCAUCACUCUGAGGAUGGUACCCCGAGCUCAUGCAAAGUUGUGAUCCUUGCAACUUAAAGAACUCCUUCCAAAAAGAGCUUAGGAACAACGGAUCUCUGUCACUCACAAUUGUAGAUGGCAUUCCAUGCAGCUUGAAUAUGUUAUCAACAAACAACUGAGCCACAGUCACGGCAGUAUAGGGAUGAGCUAAAGCUAAGAAGUGAGCAUACUUAGUAAGCCUAUCUACUACCACAAAAAUGACAGUUUUUCCUUUGCAAGAUGGUAAUCCCACAAUGAAAUCCAUGCUUAUAUCAGUCCAUAUUUUUUGAGGAAUUGGCAAAGGUUGAAGUAAACCAGGAGGAGAUAGAGUUUCAUACUUGUUUUGUUGGCAAGUAUUACACUCUGAGAUAUAUGUCUGUAUGUCGCCCUUCAUACCUGGCCAAUAAAAACCCCUUUUUAGUCUAUGAUAGGUCUUCAAUACACCUUGGUGCCCUGCUGCAGGUGUUGAAUGAUGCUCAGUUAAAAGCUUAAGCUUCCAAGUGGAAUUGGGGCUGAUUACUAUCCUGGACUUGUACUUGAGUAAGCCAUUAUCAAGAUGAUAAUGGGCUAACUUAGAAUCACUGGCUGUUCCACUCCCCAAGGAUGUAACCGCUGCCCUUUUUUGCUUGAUCCAAGCAUCUUCUUCAUUGUAUCUUCUUAAUUCAUCCAACCACCCAAAAUAGGGAUAAGAGAUAGCUUGACAACUCAUGGAUGAAUGAUUUACCCCAGUAGAACACUGAGUGUCAUGAUCUGUGACUUGUCUUCUAGAGAGGGCAUCAGCAACUACGUUAUCAACCCCCUUCUUAAAAUGAAUUUCAUAAUCAAAUCCCAUCAAUUUGGAAACCCACUUCUGUUGGAAUGUGGUAUGAGCCCUUUGGUUUAAAAAAUAUUUCAAGCUGCAGUGGUCAGUCUUGAUUAUAAAAUGUCUACCCUGAAGGUAGGACUGCCAUUUCUUGACAGCAUGUACAAUUGCAAUGAGUUCUCUCUCAUAGGUGGAGAGAGCUUGAUUCUUAGGUCCUAAGGCUCGACUGGUAAACGCAAUGGGUCUCCCUUGUUGCUGGAGAACCGCACCAAUGCCGUUAUCCGAAGCAUCACAUUCCAACUCAAAUGGCAAUGUAAAAUCAGGCAGAGCAAGGACCUGUGGAGAGGUCAUAGUAUCCUUGAGAUUCUGGAAAGCUACUUCAGCUGCUGGGGUCCACAAAAAGCCAUCUUUCUUAGUCAUCUGGUAAAGGGGUUGGCAGAUUUUGCCAAAACCAGGCACAAAUUUCCUGUAAUAACCUGUGAGACCAAGGAAACCUCUCAAUUCUUUCACUGUAGUAGGCUUAGGCCAGUCCACGAUAGCCUGAAUCUUGGAGGGAUCAGCCUCUACACCUUUGCUUGAUAUGACAUGGCCCAAAUAUUCCACUCUACUUUGACCAAAAGCACAUUUCUGCUUUUUAACAUAAAGUUGGCUGCUGCAACACUUCAAAGGUCAUUUUAAGAUGUAACAAAUGGUCUUCCCAAGUCUUACUGUAGACCAAUAUGUCGUCGAAGAACACAAGGAUGAAAUGCCGCAAGUGGGGUCGGAAUAUAUCAUUCAUAAGGCUUUGGAAUGUCGCAGGAGCAUUAGUGAGUCCAAAAGGCAUCACUAAGAACUCAUAGUGACCUUCAUGGGUUCUGAAAGCAGUUUUUUCAAUGUCAUGAGGAUGCAUCAAAAGUUGAUGAUAACCGGACCGUAAAUCAAGCUUAGAGAAAAACAGAGCACCAUGUAGUUCAUCUAAGAGAUCAUCAAUCAGAGGAAUAGGGUACUUAUCCUUGAUUGUUAUGGCAUUAAGCUCCCUGUAGUCCAUACACAUUCUCCAGGUUCCUUCUUUUUUCUUCACAAGGAGAACUGGACAAGAGAAAGGACUGUGGCUUGGUCGGAUAAAACCUGCCUUAAGGAGUUCUUGAACUGCUUUUUCAAUCUCAGUCUUUUGCAAGGGACCAUAAUGGUAGGGUCGUAUAUUAGGGGGCUUAGAUCCAGGAACGAGUGGAAUUUGAUGAUUGUGAACCCUACUCGGCGGUAGCUCAGUAGGUAAGACAAAAAUGGUGUCAAACUGCCCCAACACCUCUUGUAGUUGCGUAAGUUGCAAGGGGUUUAACUCACAAGCUUCAACCAUUUUAUCUUCAAUGGAGUAAAGGAACAAGCCCAAAUUAGAGUUGAAAAUCUCUUUGUCAAGCUGUUGAAGAGUCACCUCUUGAAUCAGUGGAGCAGGUGAGUCACUAUGAAUGAGCUUAUACUGAGAACCAUUCUUGGCAAAUUCCAUAGUUAGUAGCUGGAAAUCCCAUAGAACCGGGCUAACUGAGGAAAGCCAUUGGACCCCUAAUACGAUGUCACACCCUCCUAAUGGCAAAGAGUAUAGAUCCACACUACAUUCAUAACCCCCAAUUGAUAAAGCAGCAUCAGUGCAGCAACCUGAACUACUAACCUUACCCCCAUCCGCAAUCAUCACUUCAAAUGGUUUAGUAGGUUGAGUGUGCCAAGCAAAUUUCUUAAGGAGUCUAGAAUCCACAAAAUUAUGGGUGCUUCCAGAAUCUAAGAGAACUGUGACUUGGUGACCAUUCACUGAACUGAUGACUUUCAUUGUUUUCACAGUGGGCCUAGCAAGUGUGCCAUAAAACGCACAUUCACUAAGUUCCAUUUGUAAAAUUUCAGGUGGUGGUUCUUCUAGCAAUGGGGUGGUGAUCUCCUCUUCAGGGUAAGCUAGAUCAAGCAUGAGGAGUUGCUUAUUAGCACAAUUAUGUCCCAUGCGCCACUUUUCAUCACAAAACCAGCACUCACCCUUCUCCCUUUUGCAUUGAAUUUCCGCAGGAGUUAACCUCUUCACAGGGAAAUUAGAGGGUUUAACACUAGGAGUGAUGUGUGGUGUAGUAGGGGUGUGUAACACACGAGGCUGUGGAAAAGGCUUAGUAUAGCCACUCUUCAAAUCACACAAUUUAGCAUCAAGUUGUAAGGCAAUUGAAAUGGCAUCAUGCACAUCAGAAGGGCGCAGAAGCUUAACAUCAUAUUUAAGUUCACGUUUCAAUCCACCCAAGAAACAACUCUUUAACAAUAGAGGCCCUAAAUCAUGGGUUCUAUUUGCCAAACGCCUAAAUUCAGUGAUGUAAUCUUUGAGAGUACCUGAUUGUUUCAAUUUGAAGAGCGCUUCGGCACUGUCUUCAAACUCAGAGGGUCCAAAUUCUUUGCAAAAUGCGUGUGUGAAAUCCCCCCACCGAGGAGUGGUGCGCAAGCAAUCGUGCCAUCGAAACCACUGGAGUGCCUCUCCUUCCAAGUGAAACGAGACCGUUAAGACCUUCUGAAGCUCAGGAAUGGAAUAGUAGGUGAAAAACUGUUCCGAUUUAUAAAUCCAAGCAAGUGGGUCUUCACCCGGAGUGAAUCGGGGAAAAUCGAUGCGAGGUUGCCAGUUAUGGCGAGGCCGGUGAGGAUCGAGGUCGCCGGAAUCGUGAGGAUCGGCGAUGAGUGGUUGGGGAGGAGGAUCAGUAUCAGAAGUGGAACCUCCGCUCCCACGAGCACAAGCUUGCUCCCGACGAAAUUGUUCGAAGAACAUCGCCAUUUUUGAAUCGAUGGAAUCAGAGAGGGCAGCAACAGAAGAUUCCAAAGCAGCAACUCGAGCGUCCAUGAGAGAUAAUCGAGUGUUGGGAUUGUAGCGGGGCAUACAAAGAGGGAUCCAGGAUCAAAAUGGGGUGAUACCAAUGUUAAGAACCUGCUCAACCUGUACAAUGUAGCAAGGAAGAUAUGGAGUGGAAGAGGUAGAAGACGAGCACGAAACUCGUGUGAAUUUCAAUUAAUAAUACUCAAAUAUUAGUCUGAGGAGCAAUGAGGCCAUUGCUCCAUUUAAGUAGCCUUUCCACUCAGAAAUGCCAACUCAGCAUUCCAUUACAUAACCACUCACUAAAGGACAAACCCUUUUAUUUACUAAACUGAAAUUACAACAAAAGGAAUAAAAUGCAUUUCCUAACAGUGGGACAGAGAGAGAAAGAGAGGAGAGAGAUAGAGAGAGAUAAAGAGAGAGAGAGAGAGAGAGAGAGAGAGUGGGGCUUUUAUGCCAUAUUCCUUCAAAAUCUCAUUGAAUUUCAGGGCAUCAUCUUGAAAGCCCGAAGCUUUUUUUGGUCAAGUCUGAGGUCUUUCAAGCUCUUUGUCAAAAGGGUGUCCUUGUAUGCAAUCUUAAUCCAUUUUUCUCUGAAAGUUUCUCAAAAUUUUUCGGGGUUUUGAAUUUUUUACUCAUAUUUUUGUUCACUAUUGAAAGUUAGAAGCUUUAGAUUUUAUGGGUUAUGAAGCUCAAGUCCAUAUUUCUCUGCCUGGAUAUGGAGGAUUCAUUGUCUCCAACUGGGUGCCUAGCUUUCUGUAUAAUUAGAAAUUAAUCCUUGUGCUUAUUAUUAUUAUUAUUUUUGGAUUUUAAUCAAUGUUUCCGCAACUGGGUAAUUCCUGGAAUUAAGUUUGGACUUCUUGAGAAAUUGGGUAAUUGUGGUUCAGACUAUUUCUCGAUUUUGAUAGUUCUGAGCAAUUUUACUGUGUUUGGAGAAAUCGGGUACGUUUUGAUAUGAUUUCUCCCUAGGAUUGUGCAGUUUGUGCAGGAGAAUCAACCGGAUUUCGGGUUCUCUUAAUAGGGUGGUUUUGGGGGUUGUUGGAUCAUUUAUUCAUAGCAUUUGUUAAGCUUAGACAGAACUGCAUAGAUUUUGGAAGCCAUGGAUAAUAUCAAUGAACUGUCAUCAUCCCUGAGCUUUUCCUCCUCAUCCUAUCUGUCAAAUGGGUCCAGUAGUAACCAUGUAUCUGCCUCUGCCUCGGCCAGUUCUCAACCCGCACCGAGUUUUGAACAUUAUUUGAGUCUAAGCAAACUGAGUGAUAAUCUUGAGAAACUGUUACUUGAUCAUGAGUAUGACUAUAGUGAUGCUGAGAUUGUUGUUGAGGGAGACACCGUGGGUGUCAAUCGGUGUAUAUUGGCUUCCCGGAGUCAGUUUUUUCAGGACCUUUUUAGGAAGGGGAGUGAUGAUGCGAAGAAGGAAGGUAAACCGAGGUAUCUCAUGUCUGAAUUGGUUCCAAACGGCAGGGUUGGCUACGAAGCCUUCAAGGUUUUCUUGAACUAUUUGUACACUGGGAAGCUUAAUCCAUCUCCUGGAGAAGUAUCCACGUGUGUUGAUGAUCGUUGUCCGCAUGAUGCGUGCGGCCCUGCUAUCAGUUACGCUGUGGAAUUGAUGUAUGCUUCUUCCACUUUCCAGAUGAAGGAGCUUGUUCAGCUUGUUCAGGUUUGUUCAAGCUUUGACUUCUUGUGUUGCUCUUUUGUGAAUGAUUGUGUGCCGUGCAGGGUAAUUGUUUGUGUUCUCUCUUUGUCUACUUGCAAUUUGUUGCAGACUCUUUAUACUUACAGCCUGAAAACUUUGCAGACGUUUUGGUAUAACUUAUUUUACCUCUGCAAGUUUAAGAUUUUAACACAUUCAUCUAGCAGGAUUUACGGUUUCAUCGAUCAAAUGCCUAUAUGUCUAUUAUUACCUGUUGAGUGGCAUAUUUAUUCAAGUAAAGAGUAAGCGAGUAUGGUUUAUAUUAGGUUUGCCAACACUAGCCAACGUUUAGGUGGUUUGUGCUGACAAUUUCCAUCAAUUUAUGCAGCGUCACCUUUCAAACUUUGUUGAGAAAGCGCUUGUUGAAGACGUAAUCCCAAUUCUUGUAGCUGCCUUCCACUGCCAACUGGAUCAGCUGCUCUCACACUGCAUCCAGAGGGUAGCAAGGUCAGAUCUUGACAACGUGGCUAUAGAGAAAGAGCUUCCGCAUGAAGUUUCAAAUGAUAUCAAAUUGAUCCGUCUCAAACAUCAGGAAAUGGAGCCGGUAGAGGAUAAGAGAAUCAGGAGUAUCCACAAGGCAUUAGACUCUGAUGAUGUUGAACUGGUUGGGCUUCUUCUGAAGGAAUCUGAUAUUACAUUAGAUGAGGCUUACGCUCUCCACUAUGCUGUUGCAUACUGUGAUCCUAAGGUUGUCAAGGAGGUUCUCGGUCUAGGCAAGGCUAACCCCAACCUCCGCAAUUCCCGAGGGCAUACUGUACUUCAUGUGGCAGCCAGACGUAAGCUGCCAUCAGUUCUUGUUCCUCUUCUGAAAUGGGGAGCCUCUGCCUCGGAAACUACUUUAGAUGGUCAAACUCCAGUUGCAAUUUGCCGGAGAUUGACUAGACCAAAGGAUUUUUUGGAGAACACACAGACGGGACAGGAAUCUAACAAAGACCGAAUGUGCAUCGGUCUUCUAGAGAGAGAGAUGCAGAGAAACUCAAUCUCUGGGAACAUGUCAAUCAUAUCGGAGGAGAUAGCCGAUGAUUUGCACGUGAGGCUGGACUAUCUAGAAGAUAGAGGUGAUCAUUAUUAAUUUGUAGAUUAAAUCACUCCCUUGGUUACAUUCAAGUUCAGAUCAUGAAUUGUGGAAGUUGUGUUAAGUAUAAAGUCAAAAUUGCUGGCACAUUCGCCUGCCUCAUUCUUAAUGCCAUCAAGAAAUUUACAAUCAGUCAGUUUUUUACUCUUGUUGUCGAAAAAAAUGACUAACAGCUUUCCUAAUUUUUCAGUGGCAUUUGCGCGGCUGUUGUUUCCUGCUGAGACCAAGCUUGCUAAGGAAAUGGCAGAUACUCAUUCAACAUCAGUGUACAGUGGCCUUACAGCAUCAAGAGGAUCAAGUGGGAACUUACGAGAGGUUGAUUUGAAUGAAACGCCCUCUGGACGCACCAAAAGACUCCAAACAAGAAUGCAAGCCCUUCUUAAUACUGGUAUGACCAUUUAACCUCUGACAUAUAUCCCGAACCCUCUGAUUACAUGUUUUCCUAGAUGCGUGUUACGAUGUAUGUCCAGUUUCAAGCAUUGUUUCAUGCCUAACCUCUUUGAAAAUUAUAAAAUGCUUUCGUUAUUGGUCUCCGUCUAACUUCCCCACUGCAAUGGCGAAGUUAGUAUUACCAAGUCUAUAGCUAGAUUACCAAACACAACUCGAAGAAGUUUAGGAAAGAGCAUGACUUUGUUUCGUGAUUUAUUCUUGGAGCAAUCGGUAAGUUAUAUGAUAUGGUGAUGGCAGUGGAAAUGGGGCGGCGUUUCUUCCCCAACUGCUCGGAAGUGCUUGAUAAGUUUUUGGACGAUGAGUUGGACAUGGCGGAUUUCAUCCUCGAAAAGGGCACUCCCGAAGAGCAAAGAAUCAAGAGGACGCGGUUCUUGGAACUUAAAGAAGAUGUACAGCAGGCAUUUUACAAGGACGUGGCUGAACAAAACCGGUCAGCUUCGUCAUUCUCGUCAUCGUCUUCAUCUUCCCCGAAGGAGGGGGUAAAUCGCAAGGUUAGGAAAAGGCGUUGAUUAUAUAUUUUGCAGUAAGCGGUGAGAGAUCUUGAUAAAUUUUAAGUUGUAUUUUUCCUUCCAAAUAGAAUGAGAUCUAUGAAUCUGUAAUUUAUAGCUUAAGGUAUUGGGAUUGUGCUUUUAUAUGCUUGUUUCUCAUGUUUUCAGUAUGUUCUAAUACUGUAUAAUCUAUAUGUCAUUCUAUUUUACAAUUUUGUAUCCCAAUACAAUUAUGUAUGACAAGUUAUAUAUAUAUGUAUAUGUUAUAUAAGAAUUAACAGUCCAUCUAGUCCUCGUAGGCCCUCUUCGAGGCAUUAGGCCCCAGUCGCUGCCCGACUAACAUAUAGCGUCUUUAUCUAGAACAUUGCUAUCAACCACACGUCAUUCUAUUUUACAAUUUUGUAUCCCAAUACAAUUAUGUAUGACAAGUUAUAUAUAUAUGUAUAUGUUAUAUAAGAAUUAACAGUCCAUCUAGUCCUCGUAGGCCCUCUUCGAGGCAUUAGGCCCCAGUCGCUGCCCGACUAACAUAUAGCGUCUUUAUCUAGAACAUUGCUAUCAACCACACCAUGACGAGCACUCCUAAUACGCAUUAAUGACUACCACUAAUUUGUAAAUUGACAGCUAUUUACUGCUAUUAAAUUUUGUAUUUAAAUUUCAUUAUACUUUUAGAUCAACUAAAAAAAAACUUCACAAUUUUUUUUCUUUUGGAGCAAACGAUAUUAUCUACACAAAGAUAUUAGUAAAAAAAAUUAGUAUAAAAAAUUUAAGUUGGGCUUUGUUUAAUAGGGUAAACUAAAAAUUUAGAGAUUGAGACCUCAAAAUACCAUCUAAUUAAAUAUCUAAUUAAACAUCUAAUUCAUCUAGGCACCAACUGCUUAGUUAAAUUAGAGGGUCCUAAAAUGGCCCUUCCAUAGGCCACAGGCAAUGAUGCUAACUUCUUUGCUUUUCCCACAUAUGCCCUUUUUGUGAAAUUGUCAUAACCAUUUGCUUCAAUUGCAUCUAGAAUCUGCCUGUACAGCAACAAAGAUGCCCAUACUGGCCAUCUACUAGCUGAGUUGAGCUCUGAGACACCCUUCUCAGCCUCAUCAAAGAACAUCCUAGCUCUCUUUAUUUGUCCCUUCAUGAAACUUUGCCACUUGUCAGUCACCUUCCCGCGAAAGAUGUCAUCGUCUGAUAGGCCGGCUUGGGCAAGCUCGUCUUGUGGGAGAUAUAUCCUUCCUCUCCUAGCACUAAAAUGAUCAUUUCAAAGAGCAAGAUUUUAGUUAGAUAUGAUGUGCGAUGUUCUCUUGCCAAAUAAAUGCUUAUAUUGUCAGACUGUGAAUCUCGACAACAGUCAAGAAAAGAUCGGACUAAUCAAUGGUUCAUACUCACAGUCUGGCAACACGAGUUUCUAAACAUGUAAUGUUUAAAGGGGCUCAUGUAUUAUAAGAUGAAACUUACUCUUCUCCAACAUCUCUGAGAAUGUUAGUGAGCUGAUUAGCAAUUCCAAGGGCCAAUGCAGCAUUGUAAACACUUUCUGUUGAGGCCUUUGAUUCCCGGGAUAUCCCCAUUACCGGAACACUCAUCAAUCCAACAGUUCCAGCAACAUAGUAGCAGUAAAGGUAAAGUUCAUCAAAGUUCUGGUAUCUUGAUUUUCUCAAGUCUAAUCUCAUUCCUUCUACCAUGUCUCUGAAGGGCUGUCAAAAUAUCGAAAUUUGUAUGGUGAAUCAUUCAGUACGUUCAAAUUUUGAUAGAUUAAAGAGUUGUAAUUAAUCUCUGAUCUUGAGUAUGUGGUAUCUAUAUACCUGAAUGUCAACAGGGUACUUGGCGACUGUAUCAGAUAGAGCAGCAUCAUACAUAUCAUAAGGCCGGCCUUCGAAGAGAUCUGUCAGUCUUUUCUCCCAUCUGUCAAGAGCUUUGGGUGUAAUGUAUGAAGCAUUAGGUCCAUCCACUAGCUCAUCCGUCCUUCUGCACCACACUGCAGAAAAAAGCAGAACUCUUCAUUUAGUAUUUACCAAAAGGGAUGGUACUAAUUCUGGCACAAAUUCUGUGACUAUACUAACCAUAGAUUGCCCAAACAGCUCGUCGCCGCUCCGGUGUCAUGAGCAAUGUCCCUGAAGAACACAGAAAGAAGUUGGUAAAUACAGUUUCCUUCCAAUUCAUAAAUCCAUUUCAAGUAAAAAAUGGAAGCAAAAAUAAUUCCAAAUUGUGCUGCCUGCAACAAUAGUUAGAAAACCUAAAGUUAAACAACAUGGAAUGUGAAGAAGCACUGCCUAUCCUUAAAGAUUUGAUAACUUAGAAUCUGAAUCUUCAUUACUUUCCUUACAUUACCUUAAACAGUUGUCUCAACUACAAGGCGAGAUGAGAUUUUUCAGUGUGCCGGAAAAACGGCCUGGUACAUCAAGUGUAAUUAUACAAUUAGUUACAUUUGAGCAUCUAAUUGCCCCUCAAACUUCCAAAUUUCCUUUUCAAUUUCUCCAUUUUCCAUUACUUCGAAUGAAAAUUUGAAUCAAUCAGAUUCUUAGCUUCCGUGCGUUUACUAAAACAUGAUUAUUGAAAUGAUUCCAAUUGCCGACUUCUCUUGCGUUAUUCGCAUACAUAGAAUCAGAAGAAAAAAAGUCCGAAUUUCACAUUACCAUCCGCAAUCAAAUACCUAAUAAAAUAUAAAAAAGCGGUCAACUAGAUUAACUAUAUUUCCUUCUUUCUUGCAUGACUUUCCAAGUAAGUGUUUAGUGAAUGAUAAUAUAAACUACUUGUCAAGACUCACGUGCGAACGUUUCGAAGAAAAAAGCGAUUCAAGAUGUGCACUCAACUGCUUGGGAAAUAAAAACAAAGAAUACAAAAUCAAGUGGUCAGUCCACUUUAUUAAAACAGUGUAAUUAGUAUAUCCACGAAAAUGACCGGAUCCCAUUAAACAAAAAACCAGAAAAACCAAAGAGCUCGUAGUUUUUACACAAAAAUUUAUACGGUUAGAAUAAAAAUUAAAGAAAACUAAUGAAAAGGACUUGAAAACUUUGAGUUUUAAUGAUAAGGACAAAAUAAAGGGUAAAGUGAAUAGUACAGGAUUGACUUUUUAGUGUAAAAAUGUGGUUUUUCGUUAAAGUGAACAGUACCGGGUGCUUUUCGUUAAAGUUCCCUAAAAAUUAACGUUAAACUGUACAGAGAGUUUCAUUUUAAGAAAGUCUGGUUAGAGUUUCUCAAAACUAAACAGAUAAACAGACAGUAAAAGCAGAAACCACAGAAACAGACGAAGAGAGAGAGCAGCAGAAAUCCAGAAAAGUUACUUACCUAGGUAAAAAGUCUUGGCAUACUCUGCACAGACCUCACCACACCGGUCAUACGCCUUAUUCAGUAAAUCCCAGUUGUUCAAACCUUCAGUAAUCCGUUCAUCCAAAUCCAAAGAUUUCUUUUUUACCGUGUUCGGUUCUCUCACUAGAGCAGCCUGCUUCAGCACCACUUCAUACACCUUCUCCUCUGAAGAUCUGGCUGGGUUUGCAACUGCACCCGAGUAGGCCAAAACCCCACUUGAAAAACCCAGCUUUGAGCACAAUUUAGACCUCCUUGGGGUGCAAAUUCUCGGCAACAGACCCAGCGGAGAGCUGGCAUUCUCUUUGGGACUCACCACCCAGAGAAGAACACCUGACAUAUCAAAAAAUAUAAUUAAUCUGCUGGGUUUUUGGGUUUUUGGGGUUUUGGGUCUUGAGUGUGAGGGUGGGAGGGAGGGUGUCAGCUGUGAGGUUGUCGCUUCUCUUAUAGAGAUUGGAAGGGUAAGGCGCAAAAGUUUUGAAAGCAGGGGUGGUUGGCAAAUGGGUGUCCAGUAGUUUUUGUGUGACUAUUGCAAUAUAUAUGCCUUUUAUGCAAAGGAAUUUCUAAUUUUUCUCAAAAAAAAUGUAGAUUAGGUGUGGGACCUACUUGACAUUGUAUUUUAACAAUCUGAAUCGUUUAUUUUGUAAGUUUUGAUUCAUAGAUCAUCCUUGCAAAAAUUCAAUCUAAAACCAUUUGCUAAUUUAAUCAUCAAGAUCAAAUUUUAUUGUUUAUUAUAUAAUAAAGUAUUUGUUAAUUUUUUUAAACUCAAUUAGAUGUUUUAAAUAUUUUUGAUUUGGUUAAUAUUUUGCAAGAAUGCACUAUAAGAUGUAGGGCUGGAAAAAAAUCCCAAAAAUCUCAAACCAAACCGAAAAAUUCCCGAAACCAAACCGAAAAAAUCCCAAACCGAAAUUCCCGAAAAUUUCGGUACCCAAUACCGAACCGAUCCCGAAAUUUCGGUACGGGAAUCGGUCUCAAGUUUUUGGGAUUUCGGUAUUCCCAAACCGAACCGAAAAAUAUAUAUAUAUUAUUUAAUUUUUAAAUAUAUAUUUAGAUCGACAGAGUCCAUAGAAAAUGAAGGCUUCAAUAGUUGCACAUAUUUCUAUAUGAAUGAUUUAAAUCGACAGAGUUUUACAAUUGUAGCAUCUACAUUUGAAUCCAGAUUGGCAGUCUUGCAAUUGUAGCAUCUACAUUUAAAUUAACAUAGUCUUGCAAUUGGCACAUAUUGCAAUGGGUUUCUUAGCAGAUGCAGCCCAAAAGUGUUAAAAGGUUCAAUUUUAGCCCAAAAACAUAAUAUUUUAGUCCAAAAGCCCAAAAGCCCAAAAUCAUUUCGGGAUUCCCGGUUUGUCCCGAAAUCCCGAAACUAUUUCGGGAUUCCCGAAAAUUUGGUUUGGGAUCGGUAUUGAAAUUGAAAUUCCCGAAAUUUUUGGUUUGAGAAUCGGGACAAAGGUUUCGGUAUGGGAUCCCAUACCGAACCACCCCUAAUAAGAUGCAACUUAAAAAAUAAACGGUUUUAAUAAUUAAAAUUCUAUGUAAUAUAAACCUCACAAUUUAUCCUCAGUUUUAUAAAAGAAUAAAGAUCCUCUAAGAUCCUCUCUCUCUCUCUCUCUCUCUCUCUCUCUCUCUCUCUCUCUCUCUAUAUAUAUAUAUAUAAGAAACGUUUCUCUUUGGUUCCAAGGGUUGAUAACGAUGUCCAUGUACUGAGAGAAGAAAAGUUAUGGCCUUUGUCAAACAAGCGAAAUUCAAGGUAUAUGCUUUUGCCAUUUGGAUAGCUGGUACAUGGAAAAUAUGUGGACAGCGUUUGUAUGACUUGUGUGUGUUUAUUUUUAUUUUUCUUUGUUGUUCUUUUGUUGAGAAUAGGUUACCAUCGUCCGCGCGCGUGGAUGGAGAAAAGUCCUUUGAUUGGUAUGGGACAUACCAAACGACGGUUCAAAAUAACUUUAUUUGAGCAUGAGCGUUUUGUACAUCAUUGACGGAAUAUUUGUUUUUACAAAUUAUAAAGUAGUGAAAAUUAUUCGCCUAAAUGACAAUUUAUGAAAACUAUUCACCCGAGUGACAACUUUGAGAUAAUUGUUCACAUGAGCGACAAUUUUAAGGGUCAUUAGUACAUGAGCAUAUCGCAAAGUCCUUCAAAUCAGUGAUGGAAGUAAACUUGGUAUGGAGGAGGACCAGAGAAACAAUGAUGAUAUGUUGCCUCAGAUCAAAUCACUACAAAGGAAGUCACCGCAAGGAUAGGUUAUUCACCCGAAGGAAGUCACAAAUGACAACCUUCCCGUCCUUAGGGGGAGAUAAGAAUGUCAACGUUCUUGAACAACGCACGAUGAAUGAUCAUCCAAGUAUAGCUCUAGACGAUUUCUCGAAUCUCGUGAAAGUAACGAGAUCACAUAUACCUGUCACAUACGUAUUGCAAUCAUUCUGGCAAUGAUAGAUGUACCUAACAGACGUUGCAAACUAUCCACAAAGGACGGCCGCUCCUAGUGUUAUCGUGCAACCCUAAAGGUAGGUAUACUGCGCACUUAGGCGACCUAGUGCACUGGCGGCUAGCCAAUCAUUUAUGCUCAACUUGAAGCGAGACAAAUCAUUUAGUUAGAAGGGUUCGCCUCCCUGAAAGUGAAUAAACAUGGCACAAAACAAUCCUUUCCACGAUCUCUAUCUCAACCAUUCCACCUCAUGAAAUUAAUCUGGAAUAUCCCGAGACUUGAAGUUCUUGGUCUAUUAUGCAUGCAUGGAUGAGUUAUGAAAUUGGAAUGAGAUUAUCAUCGAUGUAUUUACGUACAUGGUAGCUACUUGAAAUAGUGAAAAACGACGAUAUCGAACCGUGUUCCAUUGAUGCAGUCAACAUAGAAUUGAUUGGCCAACUGGAAAGAAAUAAUUUAGGCCGAAUUAGAUUCCUUAUCAAAGAGUCUUUGGACCUAUUGUUCCUACAUUGCCCAAUGUAAUCCUAUCAUGUUACAAGUAAGAAAUGAAGCGCAAUGAGAUGAAUGAAAUAGUGCAAAACAUGCCUUAUGCGCAAGGAGUUGUGUUGAUUUCAAGUGCAAAUAUAAUGAUAAUAUAAUGACACAAGUAAGGGUGCCGAACCACAUGGACUAAUUAGACCUCUACAAAUUACUAAUUUUAUGUGAACUCUAACCAAACAAUGAAACUAAUAAAUUGAGUUUGGAUUUUGAUUUUAAAAACUAAAGAAACUUAAAAUGCAAGAGAAUGUAAAUACAAAUGAUAGAUUGAUUCAUAAACGAUGGGAAUGGAACUAAGGAUAUCGAUUUCACCAUUACAAGGCAAUUCCAUGAAACUUAAGCCAAAACGUUUUCAACUCUCCAAUCUGCAACUAGGGACUCAUUUAUGAUCAUCCAUUUGAUGUGUGGUUGUGACCAAGUACUCAUAAUCUACAACCUAGUUGUGAUGUUCAAAGUAGAUUACCAAUUAAGAAUCAUUAAGAACAAGAAAACUUCAAAGAACCAAAGAAAUCACAUGGCAGGAUGUUUGCAUUGCAACUUCUCCAUUCAUUCACAUUUCCACCAAGAUUAAGCAUGAUGUGUGCUAUAACCUUGAUCAAAUAAUUCAUAAGCAGCCCUAGUGGUGACCAAAUAUUAAGAUUAACAAACACAUUAAACAAUAAAACCAGUGAAUGAAACAAGAUACAUAUUGGUAAUUUGAAAACUUUAAUUUAAUAAUAUAGAGUAGUUUUGCAAGGUUACAUCGAAAUCCCCAGCUAUGAACGUAAUUACACAACAUGAUUACAUAAUAUAUAGAUAUGAAAAAUAACAUGAGUGAAAUUAAAACCAUAGAAGAAACCCCUGAAGCAAUUCUAGUGUGGAACUUCUUCAAGAAUAGCGCAGCUGAUAGGUUUCUUUGGUGCCAGCAGAUGGUGAACGGGAAAAUAAUUUUGUUUCCAAAAGAAAGUCAAAAGAAAGAGAAGAGAAAGAGCUCUAGGCGUCCCCAAGGGGGGCUUGCGUAAAAGUGGCAGACAAGCAUGGUUUUAUAAGGUAAAAGAGGCUGUUAUAGAAUGCCAAGACAUCCCAGUAAUGGAGCACUUAUUUUAUAUGUUUUUUACUGUUAUUGGUCUUUUAAAGGGCUAUAUUCAUCACCAUAUUCAAUUGUACACUUUGAAUCUUUCUCUACAUCAGAAUCUCAACACCAUUUUGCCUUAUUUGCCCCCAAAUGGACUCUAAAAUACAAUUAACUGCACAUUAACAAAAAGAGGGUAAAACACAAAUAGUUUAACUCAAAAUUAUCACAAAGAGACUAGGAAUGGAUGGUAUUGAUGUAUGAAAUAUAUGAGUUAUCACAAGGCUUCUUUCAAACACGCUAUAAUUGAUUAUAAGGUGAUGUAUUCCCUUGCAAUGAACGUCAUAAUAUUCCACUACCUUUUCAAUUUGGUAGUUUCUAAAGAACUGCCUAUGUAGCUUAUGAAAGUGGUUACUACGUAUCUAGCUUCAUGGGGAUCAAUGAUAUGGAAAUGCAAAACCUUGUGACAUUUCUUGAAGAAUUUACAUGGACUAAUUCAAAUAAUUCUAGACCACAUAACACCUACUCAAUUCAAUUGAGGUGUUCACUUUACGGAUUGAAACAAUUCGGGCGGAUGUGGUAUACCUGUCUAAGUGAAUAUGUCAUCAGUAGGGAUAUAUGAAUAAACAAUGCACGUGCGUGUACAAUCCAAAUCGCUAGAGUUGCAGUUUAAGUCGAUGACAUGAAUCUCACUUAUACUCUUGAAGAGCUUGAGAAAAUUGUCUCGACCUAAAGUCGGAAUUUGAGAUGACAAAUCUUGGAAAAACUUGACACUGGUUCGACUUGAAGUUUGAGCAUUAUUCUGACGGUAUUCUGACCCACCAGUCGAACUACACCCAUAAUGUGUUACCUUUAAGUACACCUAUGAUCGUCCUUACGUUAGAUGCAAAUGAGACCCUUGAAGAGAUUAUGAAGCCUAAAGUUCCAUAUCUGAGUGCAAUCGAGUUUAUAUCUAAUGGUAAUUUACAGCAUUUUUAAUGGAUGUUCCACAUGGACUCGUUCAGUCAAAUUACAGAAAGCAACAAGGUUUCAGUCUAACUUUGUUAGCACUUAGGGACCGGGAUAAAAAAAAAAUCAAAACCAAUUUUUCGAUCAUUUGACUAUAUUGUUAACGUAUUCAAAAUUUUGGUGCUUAAUCAAAAUAUUGGGUUCCUCUAUAUGGACGACCAAGAAAAUUGACGGUUCCAACUAUCACCAAAUCAUACGUGAGAAGGAGAAAAUAUAGUAGAGAACGAAUUUUCAAAGAAGAAUGUAGCUAGUACUAACUACUAAGGUCCAAAGAUAUCAUAUUACGUUAGAUUCUAACAAUAAUGUAUUUGGAAAUCAAAUACUAUCGCAUCAUCUGAUAUAUGAUUGAAAAUAAUGUGAAUGGUUGAUUGGCGAGGACAUGGGGAAGAUCCUUCGACGAUUCCCUGUGGUUUUGUUAAGUGCCACCGUCACCUUUGCUUCAUCGUCUUGGGCAGCCACGUAUGUAGACAUGUGGUGGUGUAGAAAAAUUCCAAGAUGACAUUUCGGUUUUUUUAGUCUCACAUGCAAAGAUAUGGACAUGGUUUGGCCUUUCCCAUACAUAGGGGGCGUGUUAUUAUCAUAAAUAUUGCUACCAACAAGGCAGAGAUAAAAAAGAAGAAGGGAAUUGACAUAAAUAAGUCAUUUCUUUUAUUUUGGGAUCAAAAUAAGAUUUUUGGGAUAUGCAUAGAACAUCCCAUGACAUGCACAACAAUAGGACAAAAGUAGGAUUUUUCAAAAAUUUGAAAUAACUAAAUUGCUCUCCCAUAUAAAUGGGUUAUUUCGAAGACCUAGUUAUCAUUUUCUCCUUCCUUGUCCGAAAACCUCUCUCAACGAACCCUAACCCUCAACGGCACAACCCAAAUCCUUUCUCCAAUUUUCCGACUGAUGCCAAGUUUCCAAUUUUUCACAGCACGACCCAAAUCCAGGGUAGGCCCUGAGGGUAGCCAGGUAAGGCGAUCAUCUAGGGCCGCCGACUUCUGAGAGUCCCGAAUAUAUAUAUAUAUAUAUAUAUAUAUAUAUAUGUAUUAGUAUAUAAAUACUCUAAAAGUAAGAAGAAUAACACAAAAAAUUUGGUGGUGUAGUGGAAAAGAAUGCAUUUGUUUGGUUACUAUCUCCUGCUCAAAACAUGACGGAGGCUUUUUAUUUAUUUAUUUUUUAUUUUUAUCCUAAUUAAAAGGCCAUGCUAGUAAAGAUUUCCCAAACAAGCAUAUUCAAAUAGCUCUGCUAAAGACUCACCAAACAAGUAUUGUUUUUCCAAAUAUAAUUAGAAAACCUACUCUAAUAACCAUGUUGAUGCACAAAACUAGAUGGGUCUUGGAACAACGUAAAUCCGACCGUGAAUCUGCAAGAAAGUAAAGAACACAAGAUGUAUCGUGGUUCACCCCAAUGUUUGGGCUACGUCCACACUGAUAUUGUAUUUCUCUGUUUAUGAGAGGAUUGUGAGGGAGAGAGAAAGCUUGAGAUAGCUCUGUUUGUAAGGAUGAGAGCCUUGUAAUGUGAGAGUGAGGCUUGAGGGUUGUGAAGGUGAGGAGUCCCUUUUAUAGACUAAGGGUUCCUCACUUAUUACAUAUUUGCCCUUUCAUUUAUUACAUAAUUACAUUUGAGUCCCCCAAGUAUUUAUACGAGGUCUAAAUACGAAGGCCCUAAGUAUGGUACAAACAGUAGUCUCCUAAGUCUUCAGUCAAGAGUCUUUUGGCUGGAGACUUGAAAUUCAGUCAAUGUGUGGGCCGAAGUAACUAGAUGUCGUCUAUAACUGAUACUCGAUAUGAGGCGGUACCCAAUCUAAAAUGAUGCUCAAUCAGAAGUAGCACAUGUUGCGAGGCUGCUCUGUUUGUGGCUUAUGUUGCCUUGGUUGGCUCGGCUUGUGACGUUGAAGGUGAGGGAGUCCCUUUUAUAGAAUAAGGGCUCGCUCCUCAAUACAAAAAUGAUGGGCUAGAGUUGGUGCUCGCGGCGAGGCGGUUGCUCAGCAGGCGGCGAUGCUCUCUAAUGAUGGUGAGGGAGUCCCUUUUAUAGAAUAAGGGCUCGCUCCUCAAUACAUAAGUGAUGGGUUAUGAGUGAAGCUAGCGGCGAGGUGGUUGCUCAGUUGGCGGCGAUGCUCUCUAAUGAUGGUAAGGGAGUCCCUCUUAUAGAAUAAGGGUUCGCUCCUCAAUACAUGAAUGAUGGGCUAGGAGUCUCUCUCUAAUGAAAGUGAGGGAGUCCCUUUUAUAGAAUAAGGGUUCGCUCCUUAAUACAUAAAUAAUGGGCUAAGUCCCCCAAGUAUUUUUCAUGAGGCCCAGUUGCGGAAGCCCAAUAUAUGGUACAUAGUGUAAUCCCCCAAUUCUUCAGUCAAUAGAGUCUGUUGGUUGGAGACUUCAAAUUGAAUCCAUGUAUGGGCCGAAGUGGCGAUUGUUCGGAGGCAGUCUUUGUAUACCAUGCACUGAAGCUUUGUAGGUGAAGCUUUGAAAAUGAAGCUUUGAAGCUGGAGUUUUUGUAAAUGAAGCUUUGAAAGCUGGAGCUAUGUAAAUGAAGCUUUCGAAGCUAGAGCUUUGUAAAUGAAGCUUUUGAAGCUGAUUGACAUAAGUGAUGCUCAUGAAUGUUUAUGUUGAUUGACAUGAGUGAUGCUCAUGGAUGUUGACAUGAGUGAUGCUCAUGAAUGUUGACAUGAGUGAUGCUCAUGAAUGUUUAUGUAUAAUUGAUAUGAGUGAUGCUCAUGUAUACUUUUGGAGUACUGGACGUACUUUUGAUCACCUAAUUGGUGAUAAUAGCGGCAGGCUGCCGAAUAAUUUUGGAGUACUAGACGUACUUUUGAUCACCUAGUUGGUGAUAAUAGCGGCAGGCUGCCGAAUAAUUUUGGAGUACUGAACGUACUUUUGAUCACCUGGUUGGUGAUAAUAGCGACAGACUGCCGAAUAAUUUUGGAGUACUGUGCGUACUUUUGAUCACCUGGUUGGUGAUAAUAGAGGGCUUGGCUCUUUUGGGCAUAUGAGCCUUCGCCCUUCACAUAACAUUCCAGCCCAUUAUUUUGGGCUUGCCAUUUUUUUAUUUUUUUUAAUUUUUUUUAUUACCCUCUGAUGAGGUUAUACAAAUGUCUUCGAAAGAUAAGAAAAAUAAAUCACAUCAUUAAAAAACAAGAAAAGUAAAUCACAUCAUUCUGGUGGGGUGUUUAUUCCUUUCUUUUGCAAUAUGGGUGUUUAUUCCUUGCUUUUGCAGUGUUCCCAUAUGCUUUCGCAGAGCAAAGCCUCCCUUUUGCUUUCUGUUUUUUCUCGGUUUUUCUUCUGCUUUGCUUUCGCUUUUGUUUCUGUUUCUUCUUUUUCUUUUCCUUUUUGCAGAUGGCAAAUAAGGGCCUGGCAACGUGAAAGUUUAUCGAAGUUGCUUUUAUGCUUUCUACGUUAUGCUGUCACUUCUUUUUCUGUUUCUAUUUCUGAUGAAGAGCUGUAAAUAUGCUUUGGAGCGGCCGUGUUAGAACCGGGACGAGCGGAGCGGCGAAGUCGGCGGCCAUGUUUCCGUGGAAAAUUGCGAAGUCGAUGGAGGCGAUGUUCUCGCGGUGAGCCGUGAAGAGAGUAUGCAAGUUCCUGUUGAAAAAGAAGUUGGGGCAGUUCGAUGUCCAGCUCUCCGAGGGCACCAUUCAGCUUAAUUUAAAUCAGUUUAAGCACACAUCAAUCUGCCUGACCACUUUCUUUAGUUUAAACACAAGUAUCUGGAUUCCCAGCUGAGUAAAAGUGUAAUGAUCUUGCAUACCUUGGAAGGGAUCAGAGUCUCAGAUCUUGUAAAAAUCCAAAGGCCACAAUCCGUGCGCGAUGAUCUUCCUCAAAUCGUAAUCGAUCUAAAACCCUCAGAUUUUUUUUACUUCACACCUUCAGCCAUGGAAGCUCUGCAAGCUUCCUUCCUGCAAAUCCCUCCCAUCCAAUUCGAACCCGACAGUGAUAAAAUUAAACGUAACCUCACCAAGAAAGGUGUCCACCCAACUCCCAAGAUCGUCCACACUGUCCGCAAAAAAGAAAUCCAAAAACACAACCGCAAGCUCAACCGCCUUGCGGAGGCGGAUCCAUCUCCGCCGUUCUCGCAUACCUAAAAAUAGGCCUUGGCCGAAGAAACCCAUUUCUGAACUCUCAAGCGUGAGUUCAUGGACUUCACCAAAGCGGUCAAAGCGAAGAGUGGUUGCGAGGAAUUCAUGGUUGGGAUUCGUGCAGCUUCCGCUUCUUCGAAGGUUGCUUUCCCUAGUCCAUGGCCGGAGAGAGAGAAAUGGAGGAUGGUGGCUUGCUGAGAUUUUGGUGAAAAAGUGAUGGUGGCCGGUGGUCGAGUACAGGAGUCCACUGAGGGUUUCACUGGAACACAGAAGGCAGUACUGCGAGGCUGCUCUGCUAAAUCCAAUCAAGAUCCUCCUGGGUCUUGGAUGUUGUCGAUUUGGUUUUGGAGAUGGGAAAUGGAAGCUGCGAGCUUAUGCUUGCCAAUGAAAGUGGGAAAUUGGCCAGCUCUUGCUCUGUCUUCGAAAUAAAGUGGCAUAGCCAUUUCUCCUCCUCCUUCAUCUUCUCUUCCUCUUGCCGGAGAAGAUGAUGGGUUUGCUUCCACUUGCUUAUCCAUUCACAAAUUCCAACCAAAGCCUCUCUCUGUCUUUACACCUAGAACUUAUUAUAUUGUUUACAGAGAGAGAUAGAGAGAGAGAGAUGAGAGAGAAGGAGUCAGAGACAUGAAAAGACGCGGUGGUAGUUGUGUUGUUGAGAGAGAUAUGGAAAAUGGGUUUUUGGAUGGUUUCUUAAAACUGCACAGAAUCUGCAAAGGUUUUCUGGAAAAGCCCAAAGAGUGAGGUUUUUUGGGUUCUUGGGUUUCUGCAGUUUCACAGUGGUGAGAUGAAAAAAAUGAAAGAGAACCAACAUAGUUUUUUGUGUCUUUUCCCACAGACGACGCCUAAUGUUGAUGCACAAAAUCGGAGGGGUCUUGGAACAACGAAAAUCCGACCGUGAAUCUACAAGAAAGUAAAGAACACAAGGUGUAUCGUGGUUCACCCCAAUGUUUGGGCUACGUCCACACUGAUAUUGUAUUUCUCUAUUUGUGAGAGGAUUGUGAGGGAGAGAGAGCUUGAGAGAGCUAUCUGUUUGUAAGGAUGAGAGCCUUGUAAUGUGAGAGUGAGGCUUGAAGGUUGUGAGGGUGAGGAGUCCCUUUUAUAGACUAAGGGCUCCUCACUUAUUACAUAUUUGCCCCUUCAUUUAUUACAUAAUUACAUUUGAGUCCCCCGAGUAUUUACACGAGGUUUAAAUACGAAGACCCUAAGUAUGGUACAAACAAACCAUUUAGAUUAUGUAAACUUAACUAAUACAUUUGCAUCUAAAAAUGCAAGACGUGUAUUAUCUAAUGUUUGUAUAUAUUUCUUCUUUUGAUAAAUUUUAAUGGUAUUUGAUGUAGAAAUACAUUUUUUUCAUGUAUUAACGAAUUUCUUUUUCUACAUAUCAAUGUACAAAAAAUCUGAAGUUAAAGAAUUCUAGGACCCCACUUUGAAGGCUCAUCUAGGACCCUCAAAUUUCCCUGCUCAAACCCAAAAGAAAAAAAAACGUGAUCCCAAACUGGAAAAGCCUAAUCCCAUUUGCUCUCAAAAACUCUUUGCUCUCCUCAAGGCACAAAUAUCUAACCCAAUCAAAACAAGGAUCAGUCGAAAUUAUCGAAAUGUAAUCAAACUAACACCAAAUUUGAAGCUAAAUUAAUCAACAGAAACGAAGUAUUUGACUCACAUAACAAAACGGAGGCCUAGGGAUUUCAAGAAGCUGAGAUUGGGGGAAUGGGGGAAGCCGGGCCUAAGCACACCAUUGUCGACCAUCUUGAAGUUCAAAGGCGGCAUGAACGCCUCUCCGCACCUCCCAUUCUUGUCUCCGAUCUCCGAUCUUCGAUCAAGUUUCCAGUUUGGGAUCGAUGGAAAUAUUUAAGUUUUACAAUUUAUAUGUGGGUAUUUUCGUUGUUUCGUCUUUGUGCAUGGUCAACAUGCAGUGUGCAUGACCGGUUUGUCCUAUUUUGAUCUUAAUAACAAGAAAAUAGUCUAUUUCUGUUAAUUUCCCAAAAAAUAAAGUGUUUCAUACGUAAGGCCUUUCUUUUUACCAAUUAUAAUAAGGGAACUUUAACGAAAAGCACCUUGUACUGUUCACUUUAAAGAGUUAGAAUUUUGUGAUGGAAAAUGUACAAGAGUUUUCUUAUAUGGAGACGAAAAAUCCUAAAAUUUGGGAACAUAACCCAAUUAAGACAUUCGAAUGAGAGUGCGGGGAUGGUUCAAAUUUUGCGAUUUGACAUAAUUCUAAGCUAAAUUGAGCAUGUUGGAUUGCCUGGAACGGAAAAAAAAAAAGUGAUCAUGGAAUGAGCAACUCAACUCACGUGUGCAGGCUAACAAACAAAAACUACAAGGAACCGGAUCCCCUCAUGAGUUUAGGAUAUUGAGUUUUCUGAGUAAUCACAUGAGACGUUGAAAUUUGAUCCAACGACUGUAAUUAUUAUAAUAUUUAGAGAGGUCUCAUAUUUGUAGUCGUUGGAUUAAAUUUCAAUGGUCCAUAUCCUUAGCUCAGGAAGCUUAGCCUCCUAAACUCACGAAGGAAUCCGAUUGCAAACUACAAUAUGCGGAACUCGCUCUUUCGCAAUCAGAGAGCUGUCGUUGCGUAGUGUUGAAAAAGUGAGGUGUGGAAGAAAAAAAAAGUGAUGGCGGAAUGAACAGCCCAACCCACGUGUAGGCUAGCAAACAAUAACGACAACAGGCGGAACUCGCAUUUUCGAAACUAGAGAGUUAUCGUUGCAUAGUGUUCAAAGUGUGAGGCUUGGACAUGAAAAAAAAAAAUUAAUGAAAAAUGUUUAAAAACUUUAAAUUUUAAUGAUAAGGAUAAAAAAGUGUUGUAAAUGAAUAGUACCAAGAUUGAUUUUUUAGAAUAAAAAUGUGGUUUUUCUUUCAAGUGAACAGUACCAGAAGUGUUUCGUUAAAGUUCCAGAAAUAAAAAAGGGACGGAUUGACUUAAACUAACAACCUAAAUCAUUUUUGGACAAUUCUAACAAGAAAAAAAAAGGAUCAAACAAGAAUUUAAAUUCAACAACAAAAUUAAUGAUGUUAACUAAUCUAAUUCAGAUCCAACCUCAUCCCAAACUCUACAAUCACCCAAGUUCAUUAUCCACGAAACGUAAUAUUUUCAUGUCUAAUUAAUUACACUCUAAAUGGACAUUUGCGAAUGAUGCUAUGUUGAUGUUACCUUACAUAUAUAAAGUCUACUGAAGUUAUUUGGUAAUUAUGAUGAUAGCAUUGUUCCCUGGUCAAUAAGAUAAUAUAGAAAAUGUUCAUAAGGGUGAUGGUGCUUGUACGAGUGUGUGAAGGCCAUGAUUAUUAACAUAUUAUUCCUGCUUACUUACUGUUGAGUUUAGAAGGUCUAAAUAUGGAACAAACUAGCGUCAAACAAUGAUUAUUGUUUUGAUCGGAUUAUAGGUCAUAUGUACACAUAUUCAAGGUACCAAUAAUAUUGACACCCCUUUACAUAUAAUUAACAUUUUAUCUUUCAAAUAUUGCCCGUUUGGUACAAUCGUGUCUACCCCAAUGGGGAAAGACACGUGCGCGUUGUCGAGGGCUUUUACUUUCAGUUGUUGACAUUCUGGUGGGGAGACUUUUACUGUCUGCUAAUACUUAUCCUAAAAAAUCAACCAAAAUCAAGUCAAAGGAACGUGGCAAAUGAUUAAAUGUAUGGUUAUUAUACAAUAUAGUUUAUGGUGGUGAACAAAAAUGCUUCUUAAAAUGUGUUCCUUCUUGUAUAGUUUGUAACUGAUAGGGAUUUUACUACUCAUGUGAAUGGGCUAAAAACUCCUAUUAUACUUGCAAGAAUCACAAAGUUGUUGUAGUAUAAACGGAUCUCACAAGGUCUUUCUCUAUAUGGAUUAUUAAAUAAUUCGAAACUAACACAUUUCCAAUUAAUUAUUGUAAGGUAGAAAUUGCGGUGAUUGAUUUUAUAGCCUACUUAAAUUAAAAACGAAAUUAAUUAAUAAAAAUAAGACAAUCAGCAAUAUUAAAAACUAGAAGGAAAAGAAAACAGUUUUGAGAGAAAUCAAAUUAAGAAAACACUAGGGUUCCACCAUCACCUAGCAAUCCUAUGAACUUCUACCAAUUACUUAUGAUCUACACAUGCCACUUUGAAGGUUAGAUUUUCCUAAUUCAUAUUCUACUUGGAACCUCCAACAUAUAACGUAUAUCUAACAUGCAACCCGUCCUGACGUUCGGAUCAAAUCUGAACAUGAAAUACUCAUUAUGCUUUAUGAAAACCCCUUGAAAAACCAAGCAACCCUUAAAACAUGGUGUUCAUCCUAAGUGAAAUUACAAUUAUUAAUCACAAGAAGCCAGCGUCAAUUUCAGGGAACCUUCCGACCAAAAUUGCAUCAAAUUACUUUUCUAAAGAUCCUAAUGGUGAUCAGACAUUAAGACAAAUAGAUAGUUUUUAUAUUGGUAAUUAACAAUUCAAAAUAUGCAUGCAAUCAAUCAUAAGCAAUUAAAUAAAAAUCACAUAUUCAUGCUAAGGCUCAAGGCUUCGCCCUAGCAAAAUAAAUUAGUUACGCAUAUUCAUAAUUGAAAUCAUAGAAAAUAUUAUUAAGAAAAGGAUUGAAAACACCUUAAAGUAUAAAAUCUCCAAGAACCCUAGCGAUUCUCUCUGUCUCCAAAAUUGCAUAAAAGAAAGCGUAGAGAAAAUGUGGUAGACAGCCAAGCAAUAUAUAUGCCAAGCCACCACACAAACCCUAAAAACAGGUCCUUUAUUCCCCCUAGGAAACUAAUAAUAAUAAUAAAUAAAAUAGGAAACAUAACCCUAAAUUAAAUGAUAAAAUUCGCCUAAAAUCUGAACAGCCACGUUUUGGACCCAGAAGCUGCUCCAAAACUGGUCCAAUAUAGCUGGAUCUAAUGUUUGGAAUAUUCUGAACACUUCUCCAGAAGGCCACGAACCCAUCCGAGGUUAUCUUGGGCUCCAAAAACGCAAUUUAAGCCCAAAAACGUAAUUUUCCAGCACUGCGCAUCGCUCCUUUAUUUUAUUGCCAGAACCGCUUGGUGGAAAAAUCCCAGAUUUUGAUACGAUCAAACUAAGUGACUUACGAACGUCCUCCAACUGAAAUUACUCCAAAAUUCGUCCAUUUGAUCCUGUUUUGCUUCAAAUGAAGUCGAAAGUCCUAUAUUGGAAAUACAUUUCAAAAUAUCAAAAUUCUUCUAAAAUAUUAACCAAAAUAUACUAAGAAUAGGGUAAAAUAUAUAAUAUAAAAUCUACUCAUCAGUAACAACGAAGAAAGUCAAGGAUUACAAGUGCUUAAAUUAAAAGCUCAGAGAAGGUCACAAAUGCAUGGUUUUUGGUAGAAAAUUUGAACAAAAGUAAGUUUUAGGGCUUCGUGCAUGAAUAUUGCAAAAAUUAGGGCUUCCUAUCAAAAUCAAGAAAUCACGAUAAUGUAAGAGGGCUUCGUGCCAAAAGCCUCACGCAAGGAUUCAUCAACAGUUCAAUGAAAGUCACAAUAUCAGGGGUUGAAAUAUGUAUAAAUUAUAAUUGAGGUUCGUGUGUACUAUCUAAAUAAAUAUGCCUCGAGUUUAGGUGAACAAAAAAUUAUUUUAUAUAAUUGAGCAUGUAUAAGUUCGCACAAAAGAAAAAUUAUAUAUGCUACUAAAUAAUAUGUAUCAUGUUGAUAAAACAUUGUUUUCUUUUGUAGUGGCAAUGUGGAUGGAGUCUCUUCAGCGCGCCUAAUAAAGCACAUAUGAACUCUAGGUCCCAACCUUUAAGCCUUUCCUUGCAAUUCUCGCCCCCUCCCCAGUGGCCUCGUCUCGAGCCACUGAAUCUCAGAGAUCAGUUGGCCUUGAGUUCAUACAAUCCAAAAACAAUCAGAACCUUAAAUUAAACCAUAACCAUAAUCCCUACAUUUUAUACUAAUUAACAUGAUUUUACAAGUCCGUUCAUAUGUUUAUGAGUCUGGAAUGAGAAACACUCGUAACACAAUGUAACUUUGCAUUCACAAAUUUUAUAUUUUCCAAUGUAAACGUCAAUGUUUCAUAAUUAUUUCCUAAUGUAGUUUGUCAACACGCAUUACACAUGCAACUAAUAUAGUAUACAAUUAACAAGUAGGAAGAAGUUUUAGGAUCACAGAAAAUUGAGUGGUAAAGUGACUCACUCGCAUUCAGAUCAUAUCCAUUGUCGAAUGUGAAGAAAUGGAAUGUGGCCAUGAAUAAUCUCCGAAAUGCCAAUCUUUUCACACAUUUUUUGCCUUUUGGUGUUCUUUUUGCUGCCGUGGAGACUGCUAUGUGCAUGGACCACAGCAACUUCACUGCACAGCCAUAUAUAUUAUAUAUGUGAGAGGGGACUCCAUCAUUUGUGUUUCUUGGUAAAAGACAACGACCCAAUUGGCUUGGGAAAUUUAAUUCUACUAAAAGAAGCCAAUACAUGUUUGGGUGGUGGGACUUGGAAGGGACUUGAUGUGUCUCAGAUCGACUGGAGGCUGAGAUUACCAAGUGAUUACUUGAAGCCAAAACGUCGUUUUUCCUGUGGAUGUUCUGUCAUGUACACUCUCCGGUCACUCGUAAUUUUGCGUUUUAGUAGGAUGUUAUCUUAUGCAGUCGAGGACUUUCUAGUAUAUUAUUCUGGUUAUUCCGUACAUAUUAUCGAGUUUUCAUGUUAAUUUUUGGUCAAGUAUGCAAGGACUAUAAUAUCAGUUUUUUCAUUGAAGCGUUUAGCCAAGCAUUUGAUGGCCACGUCGCUAUGCUUAGAUUAUUCGACAACUUCCAAGGCCUUAUGUUGAGGCCUGUCAAGCAUCACCUACCAAGGCUUGUCAAAUUCUGUCGUAGAGGCAUGUCAUCGAACAAUUUGUGAACAUUUUCAGGUCCUAGAGCAGAUGGUCAUAGACUCAUAGGGUUCUCUAGUGGUCUUUCCCAUAUAUUCCGACUUAAAAAUAGAGUAUUUAUGUUUACAGGCAAGUUUUCUGUAUGAAUAAUCCAACCAAACCCAUGCAACACGUUCUCUAAAUGUAGUUCUCAAUUUUCAUGCAUGCCUGGAAGACUGUCUCUAGCGAAACUCAUGCGUGUAUUCAAACUAGCUCAUUAGUUUAGGGAGCUUGACAAUUAGAACCAAUAAUAUAAAAGGCUCGAAGGUUUAAGGCAGUUUGCUCGUUUUAUUAUACCUUUCUCGACUUUUGGCUAAGAUCAAAUGUGCUCGUUUUAUUACGUCCAAGUUUAGUUCUCUCACUCCAUUAGAGUGCAUUGAAAUAUAGUCUUGUUAGAAGAAAAAAAAAAAGAAAAAGAAAAAAAAUAAGACUUUAUUAGGCCCACGUGUCAUAGUGUGAGGAUUUGGUCACACUCUCAAUCUUUUAAUGGGUUUGGGCUUUAGGAUUGGGCUAAAACACGUAAUCUGUGGACUUAAUAACUCAAUGAUCAAGUAGUGUCAUGAGUGUCUCUAAUCUAAUGGUGCAAUGAAGGCUUGUCAGCUAAAAUAGUCAUUGAGAUUAGCAUAAUUCUUUAUUUUAACUCUUAAUAUUGAAAUCGAUAGAAAGGGUUCCUGAGUUUUUUCACCGUCAACCAUUUUGGUUUUUCUGUGAAAAAUCUUCAUUAAAUGAAAAAAACCAAGUCGAUGGGUUGAUUGGACAAAAACACCUUUAAUUUAACAUAAUUUUUCAUAGAAUGACCAAAAUGGUUGACGGUGGGCAAACUCAGGGACCAUUUCAAUCGAUUUUCAAUCUUAAUAACCAAAAUAAAGACUUAUGUCAAUUUCGAUGACCAUUUUAACUAAAAAGUUAUGCAGUGAAUGAACAACUUCUAUAUCAUAGCCCCAGUGAAUUGAAUGAAAAUAACGUUUAGUAUACAUUGUGGUAAAGCUUUGCUUUUCAUGUCCUUUGUUUGCAUGACAUGCCACCCCACACGGCAACUUUUAUCUCCAUAAAAUUAAAAGGUAGGAAAACCAUGGUCCUAUGGGAUAUUAGCUUUUCUUUUGUUGGUUUCCACGUUUAACCCCCAACACUUUGACAUUAUUACAAAAUCAUCCCAACUAGCUCCACGUUUCAGGACCACAGAGCGAGUACGUAGUACAUCGCACUCGAGCGAGUACAUUUGUCUCCCAAAACGCAUGAGGCGUAUCUGUUUCCCUCGUUUUGUUUGUUCAAAAUUCAAAAACGACCCAACAACUCCAAUUCCUCUCUCUCUCUCUCUCUCUACUGAAUCAAUAAAUCACCUAAAAAGGAAAACCAAGAACAAGCUAGAGUUUUGGAUUUCCCCUUUGUUUUUACUUUUUUUUUGUUUGUUCUGAAAUCGAUGUUAUGCUCGCUGUUGAAGCGUGGAUUUGGGGAAUCUGUGCAGAUCGGCGUUGAGGUUUCUUGACAGGUCGAUUUCGCGAGCUAUGGGCUGCUUCUUCGGUUGCUUUCGGGACAAAGAUGAUCGCCACCUCCGCUCUCGCCCUCACCUCGUCUCUCAGUCCUCUCGUAACCCCCAGACGGUAAGGUUUCCGUUUGGUGUUUGGUUCCCGAGAAAAUCCGGGAAAAUGUUUUUCCUUUCAGUGUCUAUAUUUACUGUGCUGCGAAUUACUUUUUGUGUGAAAAUUUGAGGAAAUCAUAGUCAAUUGAGUACUAAAGGACUAAUCUUGAUCUUGAAUUAGCCUAAGAUUAGGGAUUUUAGAUUUCUUGUUUUUUCAAUUUUGAUUUGGGUGCUGCCGAUAUCAUUGCAAUUGGAACCCAGUGUAGUUAUAUUCAUUAUCGUUAUGUUCAAUUUCAUUUUCUCAGCUUCCAAACAGUAGAUUAGUGAGUUAUGUAUAAUUUUAGACUGAUUUCUUGUUUUCUGUUUCUUUUAUUUUGAUCAGGAAGUCGUGUUAUCCCAAAACCGUUUGUCUGCUCUAUUUUCAGCUGAAGGUAUAUUAUAUUUUCUCCAAGACAAUAAGCUAAUUUCUUGAAUCCGAUUCUACAUAUCUCGUUGCUUUUUAUUUUCUUUGGUCUGAUUAUCCUUUUAUUUUCUCUGGUCUGAUUUGUAUGUGACUCUCGAAGAGCAAGAAGGUUCUCCAAGCAAAGAUAGGGAAAGUCCGCGUUAUGGGUCUCCACAAAUUGACAAGGAGCUCAGGAAUGAGGUGUUUUUUUUUUACUUUAUGAGCUAGCGGAUUCAAAGUUUGAUGUAGUUAAGAUGUUCAGUACAGCAGUUCAGAUUAAAUUGUUUUCGAUGCCUAAUGCUCAGAACCUACAUAUUUCAAACGUAGCAUGGCCAUUUUUGCCAAUCAGUUUUUUAAAUGUUGUAACUUUUUCUCAAUCUUUUGAAGUGAUAUAAAUACUCCAAUUUAUGCUCUACAACAAAGACUUUGUUUUCCUGUACAUGCUGUUUAAGUGAAGUUACAAGCAUUAGUUUCCGAAGUGUUGCUUUCUAAGUUAGAACUUGUGGGAGUCAUUGGAGCUUUGACUCCCGUUUUGCGCAGUACGUUUAAUGUCAUUGUUUCUAGUUACACUUUGGAUGCAUUUCUAGAUUAAGUCUUUAGCUAUUUGAAUUUCUCAUACUGUUAAAGAUAUUGGUUUUAUUUAUGCAGUGCAUCUUAUUCUGCAGGCCAAGUUUCUUAAAGCUUGUGGUACCAUAGCGGAAACCCCAGCUGAAAUUCGUAAAGUGUCUUCAAGGUUAAAUGGCUCACCCCAUCAUGAUAGAGAUUCAGAGCCUCCAAAAUUCAACUCAUGGCUCCCAAACACAUCCUUUAGAAAUCUUCAGCAAGAGUUGGAUCAACCAGAUCAUCCCCUUACGCCUAUGAAGUACAAUGAAGAGUGGGGAAUGGGUUCAGGUCCUUCUGAGCAUACGCCUAGCAGGUUCUACUUAUAACUGUUUUAAAGUUUGAAUAGUUACUUACAGAUGCUUUGAAUGCUUGAACAUUAGUAUAUUUUCUACUUCUAGAUGGGAUGGGUUUGCAAAACCAGAGUUUCAAUCUGUCCUCGUAUUAGCAAUGAAAUUUGAUGGCCAUCUCAUAUUUUUCUUUUUAGUAGAGAAAAAAUUGGUUUUUUUUUUUUUUUUUUGUGUGUGUGUGUGUGUGUGUGUGCUGCCUGUAUUGUGAGGAACUGUUUAGUACAAGUAAACAUAACUGAUUCCAGACUUGCGUUCUUAUAUUUUAUAUUUAUUUCCACAAAACAACAUAGUUUCUGACAUUUGCCCAAUUUCAUUUUUUAUCUGUAGUUGUGAAUUCAACCAACAGAAUACUGGUAGGAUCGCUAUCAGCUCUUCUGGAGGCAGCGGAAUAGGUACUGAUUCCACAGUGAAGAGUCAUACUAACCGGACUGAGAAUAUUACAACUCCAGAUGUCCAGUGCAGGAGCAAGGCUGUUCGCUUUGAAUGCGAUAAUAAUACAAAUUCCUCCAGAGGUUCUUCAUCCGAAAAUUAUAACCGGAGUUCAAAAGUAUGUGAAACUCCAGGAAAACAGAGCAUAUCAAAGCCUUCGGUUUAUCCAACCCCACUAACUCUUUCUGAGGAGAUGCAGACACCAGGAACUGUUUUCCCUGCAAAUCUCGAAAACUUUCCAAAUGGAAGGGCAAGAAUCAGGUCCCAGUAUGUGUAUUCAGUGCAAAACCCUGUAGACGGCAUCUCUCAGUGGAAUGUACUGAAAGACGAAGAUCCUAAGUCACUUGGACAUUCUGGUGAGCCAAGAGAAUCUCUUAACGACUGGGGAAAUGCAACCCCUACAUCCGAAGAGGGGUCAAAACAAAUGUCAUCUGGACAAGAGGUCAAUGUGGAAUCAAGUUUGUCCGCGUGGCUGAAGCCGGUAACUCAAGAUAACAACAAUCACUUUGGUUAUGUUCCUGGCCAAACUCGUCAUUUUGGAAGAACUCCUGUGGACAGGCCUAUCAUUGGGCUUGUUGCUACUCACUGGAAUGAAGAUGAACAUACUCGUGUCUCACCCAAGUGGUGGGAUGGAAACGGAAUCCCAAAUUCAACAAACAAAUACAAGGAGGUUUGUCUGACUACCUUCUACUUCCUCUUGCGUCUUCAAUUCAUUUUUUAAGUGACGUCUGAAGUUAUUUCUGAAUUUGCAGGAUCAGAAGGUGAGUUGGCAUGCCACCCCAUUUGAAGAAAGGUUGGAAAAGGCACUGUCCGAAGAGAGUUUCAUCUCGCAGAGGUAUUAGAACGGCAUCGCAAUUUGUUUUCACAAUUUUCUUCAGUGCUAAAGAAGCAUUGAUUUUCCUCGACAGAAAAUGUGACUAUGUACUUUAUAUGGUUAUGCAGAAAAAACAUGGAGGGAAAGCCGAUUGUUUUCGACGAGAACGAUGAAAGUGACACAGCCCUUUCUCAGUUGCAAACGUCAUCCCAUCCGAAGUCCGUGGUUUCAUUCUGAUGAGCAUGAGUUUUGUUGCUUGCUUUACAAGGAAUUUGUUGGUGGUGAAAAAAAUGAGCUCUUAAAAAAGAAACCCUAAAUCUGAAGUUUGUUGUUGGGGAUAUAUGGUGAAAUUGGUAAUUUGGCCUUUUGCAUCUAAAGCCAAUGAACGAUCAAAGCGGAUAAAGCAAAAGUUUAUUAGUGUGUCAAUAUAGUCAUGCUUAUGUCAGCAUUCGGGGCUGCUUAGAAUGUGUACAGAAUUAUUGGAAAUUUUAUCACACAGAACUAAUUGCUUGUUGACAAAGUUUGGUUGUUUGGAGACCUAGAUCUUAUAAUUUCUUACAUGAUUCGUUAAUAUGUUAUGUAAAAGAUAUAAAAAUAACGGAUUUCAGGUCAACACGAUAACUAAUUGAGUCGUUAUCUGGUUACACAAUAAGAACCCGAUAAUAACGCGUCCUUAAUAAGUUUACACGAAAAUGACACUCGGUAACCUGUUUUAACAUGCUAAUAAGAAAGAUAUUUUUAUGGUUUUAAUUUUUUAAACUAUUAAAAAAAUCACUAGAUAUAGUGGAUAAGUAUAUAUUGUUUAUUAAUUAUUAUUCUAUAUAAAGAGUGAGAUUAAAAAAUUAGAAAGCACAUUAAAAAUAAAAAUAUUAAUUAAUUUUAAAAAAAAUGAGCUCUUAAAAAAGAAACCCUAAAUCUGAAGUUUGUUGUUGGGGAUAUAUGGUGAAAUUGGUAAUUUGGCCUUUUGCAUCAAAAGCCAAUGAACCAUUAAAGCGGAUAAAGCAGAAGUUCAUUAGUGUGUCAAUAUAGUCAUACUUAUGUCAGCAUUCGGGGCUGCUUAGAAUGUGUACAGAAUUAUUGGAAAUUUUAUCACAGAACUAAUUGCUUGUUGACAAAGUUUGUUUGUUCAGAGACCUAGAUCUUAUAAUUUCUUACACGAUCUGUUAACACGUUAUGUAAAAGAUACAAAAAUACGGAUUUCAGGUCAACACAAUAACUAAUUGGGUUCUUAUCAGAUUACACGAUAAGAACCCUAUAAUAACAGGUUCUUAAUAGGUUUACACGAAAAUAACAUACUGGUAACCUAUUUUAACAUUCUAAGAAAAAAGAUAUUUUUAUGGUUUUAAUUUUUUAAACUAUUAAAAAAAUCACUAGAUAUAGUGGAUAAGUAUAUAUUGUUUAUUAAUUAUUAUUCUAUAUAAAUUUUAAAAUUUUAAGUUUUAUUUAUUUAUUUAUUUUUAUAGUAUACUAUACGUAAAGAGUGAGAUUAAAAAAAAUUAGAAAGCACAUUAAAAAUAAAAAUAUUAAGUAAUUUAAAAAUACCAAACACAUUAAAAAAUUAUAGUAAUUAAUUUACAAGUACGAAAAAUGUAAACAAUAUGAAAACACUUAUAAUAACAUCAUUUAAACUUUGGGGAUGGGUACAUCGUCGUUUGAAUUUUUAAAACUAUACAAACCCUCAUGAAUAGUAUUUUUAAGAGUUAAAAAAUAAAUAAAAUUCAUAAUCAUUAAUGUUCAAAACAAGUGUUCAAAGAUAUGCAAAAUGAAGAGAGUUGCGUUCCAAGGGUUUUAUGGUAAAAAAACAUGCAAUGUUCCUCAACCUUGAAACACAUCUCUUUUCAUUUUGCAUAUCUUUGAACAUUUGUAUUUUGUAGUAUGCACUAAUGUUUUCUCAUUAGGCUCUUAUUUUGGGUAUGUAAACUUGAAAUACAUGUUUUUUUUUUAAUAAUGUUUUGAAGUAAUAUUUAUGUAACAAUAUGGUAUGUAUAUAUUAAUUUAGUAUUAUGUUUUACAUUUUUUGGGUCAACUUAUGUUUUUCAUUUUCAUUAUUUAUUAAUUUAAAAUAUAUUUUUUUCACAGUAACGGGUUAGGUCAUAUUACCUGAUAAUAUUAACGGGUCAAUUUCGCAUCGAAUCAUAUUACUUGUUUAUUUUAACGGGUGUUACAUGACACAACCCGUUAAGCUAUUGGGUAUGACACGAAAACGACAUGAAUACGAGAAACAUGACACGAAUGCCAGGUCUAGAAACCAUAUUAAUGGGAAAAGAGAUUUCCUCUUGCAACCAUUUCACCACAUGUCAAAGCUUUAUUGAAUGUUGGGUUCACUUUCUAAACACGUGACGAUCACUGAUUGGUAACGGAUUCCACUCGAACCAUGAAACGGUUGUAAGAGAGAAUCACUCUAUUGGAAGAGAAAUUUCUCUCUUAAAAUAUUGCCGUAGUGACCUUUCCGCAACAUAAAAGUUGUUUAUAUGUGCAUUUUGAGUCAUUGAUGAAUGCAUAAAUUAAGACAGGAAAUUGGGAAUAUCACAAACUAGGGCAAGAAGUUUAAUUACAAAGUUGAAAGAGACACAAUCAAUUAUGAGCAUAUCGCACGACGACAUAAAUGUUAAGAAUAAGGUAUUUGUCGAUUUCCCCAUUCCCCUGAAUUUGUUAGGAGUUACCAUUUUCGUCAUGAGCUAUAAUUUUAUUCAAUUAUCUCCUGAAACUUUUAUAAUUGAUCAAUUUUCUCAAAAACUUUAAUUUUAGCAAAUUACUCACCUAAACUUUAAUUUUAAUUGCAAAAAAAGUAAUUUUAUCGAUAAGGUAGACAACAUUUUUUUUUCUAUUCCGCUAGUUCACUUGGGGGGAGGGGGGUCAAUUAGAAAAAUUAGAGGAGUAAUCGGGUAAAAUUAAAGUUUAUUGGAGAAAUUGGCCAAUUAUAGAAGUUUAGGAGGUAAGCGGCUAAAAUUAAAGCUCAUUAAAGAAAUUGGCCAAUUAUAAAAGUAAAUUGGCCAAUUAUAAAAGUUCAGAAGUAAAAUUGAUAGUUACUUACAAAUUUGGAAAAAAUCAGCCACUACUUCUUCAAGAAAUAUUGAAGUAAUUUUCAAGUUUGGCCCAACUGAGGAUCCACCAAAUAGGCCCAAUGACACCAACACCGCAGCCCUAAAUCCAAAAGGAAAGCACAAAAAAUGUUGGCAUAUAAAUAGAAGCUGGCGGUCGGCGUUAUGCGGAAGGGCGCGAGCGGGGCGGGGCGAGGAUGGUGCGGGAGAGAAAGGGGUGCUCUCUGCUGGAAGCGGCAAUCAGUCGAACACCAUGUGGAUAAGAAAAUAACUGAGGGGAUCGUGAUUUCCUUAUUUCCAUUUUAUAAAGUUUUUAUAGUUUUCAAUCUGAAUAUGUUCGAUUCGGUUGCUGCUCGUAUGAGAUCCACUCUCUCUCUCUCUCUCUCCUUCCUGCCCACCUCAAACCCUCGGGGCCUUAUGAUGAUGUCUGAAGGUUCUCCGCUUCGAUUUUAUUAGGUUUUUGUUAGAUUUGAGUGAUUAAUAUUUUCUGCAUUUUUUUUGUUUGAUUUCUUGCUGGUUUUUAAUUUCUUUGAUAACCCAUGAAGUUUUAUUUAUUUUUUUUUUAUUUCCCCGUAGUGUAUGUAUAGAGAGAACUGUGAAUGUAUAUAUAUAUAUAUAUAUAUAUAUAUAUAUGUAUGUAUGUAUGAAUGUAUGUAUGUAUAGAGUUUUUCUAGGUAAGCCAUGAUUUUUUGGAAAAUUGGUGGCGUUGAUGAAGAAAUUUUGAGUCUGACGUCGUGUCGUUAGGUAAUGUUAUUAAUUCACGUGUUCUAAUAAGAUCAGUGUACAAUAUAGUUGAUAUGUAUUAUGUCAUGGACUUUGACUAUAGUAUUAAUAAAGAGAUGCAAUGCUAUGACAUAAGUGGAUUUAAUACGGUGUGGUAUAGCUGCUACAUUGAAAAACUUCUUUCCUUGUGUGAGUUUGUUUUGCAAACUGUGCAAUUAAUAUUAAUUUUUUAUAUAGUUUAUGGAAGUGAUUUCGAACUUCUAUUUCAAUUUAUUCUCUAAAUUUCUUUAUUUAAGGGUGUUUUGGUAGCAUAAUUCUGUUUUUAUUAUAAUCCUACUUGAAUGGUUAUUUUCUGAAGAUUUUGGGCACUGGUAGGGAUGUGCAAUGGUUAUGCGGGUGGGUAACCGCGGUUAAUUUAUCCAUAACCGUUUAUGUUCAUACCUGCAUAACCAUUUACCCGUUGGGUAAUUACCUAAACGGUUAUACCCAUACCCAUAACCGUUUAUAAACGGUUAACCAUACUCAUAACCGCAUACUCAUUUAACCGUAACCGUUUAAUAUCCGUUUACCCAUUUAUCAUUUUUAACCCGUUUAGCUUUUUUUUUUUACCAUUACCUUUUUUUCACCCGUCUAUAUGUUUUUUAACAACUUGAAAAUUAAAAAAAAAAUUGUCAUAAUUUUUUUUUGACAAUUAAAUACCGUUAUAGGUACAUUCAUCAUACAUUUUCAUAUUUUAAUUUUUUAAAUCCUUAUGCAAUUCCAAUAAUUGAAAUAAUAGUUUACAGAUAAUAUUUUUAACUGUUACCAAUAAAGGUAAAUAUAAUAUUUGCUAAGUAUUAUUGGAUUACAAAAAUUGUUUAUAAGACAUUUCUGUCAAAACAUUUCUGUUAAUUUCACGGUUACCUGCAAGAAAUUUAAAUUAAUUUGGCCAAUUCCUUGAUGAUGAGAACAUCAUUCAUGCAGUAGUGUUAUUGAGAGAAGGACCGAUGAAUUCCUUGCUAAUUGAUUGGGUGCUAAGUAUUAUUGGAUCGAGAACAUGGUUUGUGUUAGUUUUACAUAUAUAAAAUAAAUGGGUAAACGGUUACCCGUUUAUAACCGUGGUUAAUACCCAUGACCGUCCAUUUAAAUUUCAUGGAUAAACGGUUAUACCCAUAACCAUUUAUUUAUUUAAACGGUUACUCAUAACCGUAACCAUUUAAUUUAAAUGGGCGGAUAACCGUGGUUACCCAUAACCAAUGAGUAUUUACCCAUCACUAAGCAUGGGGUUCCUAUAAUAUGAAGGGAGACCUCCAAGAUUGGCUUUUCGGUUGAUGCUAUCUACAUAUUUAUUUUUGUCUCUUACAUACUUUAUGUUAAUUUAUGUUAUGUGAACUUCUCAAUUCAUUUGAUACUAUGGUCAGAAAUUAAGAAGAGUGUGAAAGAUAAAAAAGGAUUGGUGCUAUCUACAUAUUUAUUUUUAUAUUUUACACACUCUAUGUUAAUGUAUGUUACAUGAUCUUCUCAAUUCAUUUGAUAUGACAAUCAAAAUUAAAAAAAAUAUAAAAAAUAAAAAAUAAUGUGCAGAUAGCACUUCCCUUCAAAUAAAUGCAUUAGAUACUAACAACCACUUGACUUGACCAACCGAACACCCACCUUUAAUAAUUUCUGUGUUUUUUCCCUCUUGUUUUUUACCCGUUAAUUAUGAUUUUCUCCCGCCUCUUGUGAUGUGAUGAGUUAAGUGCUUACCAAAGCAAAAGACCAGAGAGAGCAAAAGCAAAUUGGAUACUGUUUCUUUGAGAGCAACUCCAGUCCUUGAAAUUAGGAUGGGCCGAAGCUUAAAAAAAUCUUAUUCGAAAUUAAAAAUAAAAUUAUUUUUUAUUAUUUUAUUAAAAUUUUAAUAAUACUUGAAUACGAAUGAAUUAGAUUUAGAUCAGCAUAUUUUUUAAAGAUGUAUUUGACCAAUUACUAUUUAUUGGGAGUAAUUACAAUUAUUUGAGUGGAUUAAAUAGGCUGGAUGUUAGCAUAUUUUUUAGAUGGAUUGUCUACCCUGCCAUUUCCAUACUCUUUCUAUCAUCUUCUGUUUUAUCUGGUCACGGUUAAGCCACGUUAACAUUUUAUAUUCCUAUUACAUUUUGUUUUAUUAUUUUUAUAAAAAAAUGAAUAUAAAAUGUUGACGUGGCUUAAUUGUGACCACACAAACAGAAGGAGAUGAGCAUAGUAUGGAAAUGGAAGGGCAGACAAUCCACCUCCUAAAAAAUAUGCUGACAUCCAGCCUAUUUAAUCCACUCAAAUAAUUGUAAUUAAUCCCAAUAAAUAGUAAUUGGUCAAAUACAUCUUAAUCUUUGAAAAAUAUGCUGAUAUAAAUCUAAUCAAUUCGUAUUAAAAUAUUACUAAAAUUUUAAUAAAAUAAUAAAAAAUAAUUUUAUUUUUAAUUUCGGAUAAGAUUUUUUUAAGCUUCGGCCCAGCCUAAUUUCAAGGACUGGAGUUGCUCUCAAAGAAAUGGAGAGUCUAUAAGAACUGGAUACCAAACUCUGUUGUGCACGAACUAAAUUCUUGGUUUCGAUAACAAUUGCAAUGGUGGUGAAGGUGUACGGCCCCUUCUAUGCUGCGCCGAAGCGUGUGCUGGUGUGCCUUGUUGAGAAGGAGAUUGAAUUUGAGACCAGCCCCAUUGAUCUCUUCAAGGGUGAACAUAAAUCUCCGGAAUUUCUCAAAUUACAGGUUAGCUUUAGCUAUUCAUUCAUUUGUUAAUCGUGAUUGCUCUACUCGUAUUAAUCUUUUCGGAAACUAUAAAUAUAUUGAUCUUUGCGUUGCUUUGUCUUUAAAAAUACAGCCCUUUGGACAAAUUCCUGUUAUCCAAGAUGGGGAUUAUACUUUGUAUGGUAUGCCUGUUUUUGAAUUUGAAUCAACGUUUGUCAAGUUUUAUCCUUUCUUGUUUGCAGAUAAAUAUUAAUUUGAUUAAUAUUGUCUGUGUUUUCUUUGUUGCAGAUAUUAGUUGAAAAUUGUGAAAUAUCGUAGGAAAUUUUUGAUAGAUAAAGAGUGUAGCAUGUUAUAUUCUUAACUUCAUAUAUCGUUUGACGUAAACCGCAUCGAUCUUGCGGCUUUUUCAUCUGGAAGGUGAUUGUUUUUCAGAUCAGAAGCUGGAUAACUUUGUUGCCAUGGUUAUGUAGUAUUCACCCCAGUAAUUAUGUUUUGUAUAUUUAUCUUGCCUUGAACCUUUUGAGUGACUUUCCCAAAGCAACAAAGUUUGAUCACUAAUGUUUCGGCAGCGAGAAAUUUUGUGUAAAUUGUUUGAUGAAAACCUUGUCCUCCCUUUUCUCUUCUGCAUAAGUGUAGUGACCUAACAAGUUCUGUAAUAAAACCGUCCAAAUUUGAUUUGCAGAAUCGCGCGCAAUCAUAAGGUACUACGCUGAAAAAUACAAAUCCCAGGGGACCGAUUUACUUGGAAAGACGAUUGAGGAAAGAGGUCUUGUGGAACAGUGGCUAGAGGUUGAAGCAAGCAACUAUCACCCGCCACUCGACAACUUGGUCAUGCACAUUUUGUUUGCCUCGGCAUUGGGAUUUCCUUCAGACCCGAAGAUCAUCCAGGAGAGCGAAGAAAAGCUCGGCAAGGUGUUGGACAUUUACGAGGAGCGGCUGUCGAAGAGCAAGUACUUGGCCGGUGAUUUUUUCAGCCUUGCUGAUCUUAGCCACCUUCCGUUCACCCACUACUUGGCCAAUAGUAUGGGGAAGGAGUAUAUGAUAAGGGACAGAAAGCAUGUCUCUGCUUGGUGGGAUGAUAUUAGCAGCAGACCAUCCUGGAAGAAGGUCCUCCAAUUUGGUGCGCCGUUUUAAGGUAUUUAAAGAAAUUGUUGCAUUCGCAACAUUGUCACGUUAAGGAGUUAUUAUAGAGGAGCGUUGGAUUCGCCGGUUCUGGAGCUUGGUCAGAAUAAAUAGUUGAAAGUAACGUGUGGGAAUAAUGAGAUCAUCCGCUCCUUGUAAUUUGCUUUCUCUGUCGGUACACAAGUAAGCUUUUUUCGCUGGAUAUGUAACUAAUGGUUUCAAUCGCUUUAUGGAUCAUGAAUGCUUAUGGCUUAAGCUGAAUUUGGGAGCGUUUUGUUAAAGUUGGUGGCUUAUUGGGAAGCCCUCUCUGCCAGUUUGGGCAUAGGAUGCUAUACCUUAUGUCCAAACUGGCAACUGUUUCACGAACUUUUUUCUAACAAAUCAAGCAAACUUACGAUGGAUUUCUAGGUGUGAUUUGCACUCAGAAUUUCCGCCUAUGACUAGUUGAGAAGAUUCUGAGGUUAAAUUUCAUAAUUGGCAUAUUCCGUUCUAGCUUGAGGUAUGACUUGCUGGAGGUUCUAUUGUGAAACCGAAAAGAUACUGUGCAUGUAAGUGUCAGUCGUGGCUAGCUAUGAAGGAGACGGUUGUUUGUCAUAUGAAUACAAAACAGGGCAGAUAGAUAUCUAUAACUUCAAUGCAUUUCAGAUGCUCUCUCAUCGCAUUUGGCACCUUGUACUUGUUUUAUGUCAUGGCCUCCAUUUUGUAUGCCAUAUUUAUACGAAAUUGUUAUUAGUAUUUUAAUUUCUUUUAAAUAUUUAUAUUUAAAAAGAAGAAUACAUAUGUGAGGAUUGCACAAUGAGAUUUUUGAAGGGUCAAUAGUAAUUCAUUUAUAUGUACAUAAUUUAUCUUUCCCCUACUAACUUAGAGCAUCUCCAAAGCAGAUGUCAAAAUAUCCAAAUCAACACUAAUAGUUGAAAAAUUGCAGCAUAAAUAUUUUCCAAUUGAAAAGUCAAACCGGAUGUCUCAUGACAUGGAUUGGCAUCCCUCACCUUAGCUGCCAAAAUUAAAGCAACUUCAAAUUGUUAUAAACUUCUUAUUUAAGUGUGAUUGUGUAAAUAAUAGAAUAUAUUUUAUUCUAGUUAUUCUUCUCUAUUAGGACUUGUAUUCCUGGGAGGAGAAGGAUUUCUUCCCUUUCUUAUUACUAUAAAUAAAGGCACUGCGUGGGGAAAUAACACAUCCUCUACACAACCCUACAAACACAUCUCUCUCUGUGCCGCCAACCCUCUUUCCCUUGUUAGUUAAAUAUAGGCCAAAACACGUUAUCAGCACACUCCUACCGCUGUGAUUAGGAAUCUGACACAGAAGUUUUUUGCAUCAAACCAGUUCGUCAAUAUCAUCACGCAAUCAGGUUCUUUUAAAACAACGGUUUUUAUCUUGAUAUUUUUGUAGCCUUGAUAGUAUGAACAUUCACCAUAAUGCAUGACCCAACUUUACGUUUUUCAAAUUUUAGAUUCUACAUAAAUUAUGUAUGCAACUAAGAUAAACUAAGAUAAACUAAGCCAAGUCUCUGGGCUCCUCGCGCCUAGCCAAGAUAAACUAAGCCACGAAGCCAGAAGCUCCGGGUUUUGCAACCCAGAAAAACCUUGACGCCAUUAAUGGCGUCUUUGUCCACGACCAUCACGGGCAUGGCCUGUAGCGACCGCCCAGAGCCUUUGGUCAUUGUCAUCGAUGACCAGAAGUCGUCCCCGACGAAAAUUGGACCGAGAUUCGCUUGAAUCUUAUCGGAAUUUUUUUUGAAAAUUCAAUUUGAAUUUUUCUAGGGUUUGGUUGUUGAAACUUUGAGAUUAAACCAUCUUCGUUCACCACCGUGACUUUCCUCGAGUCUUACCAACCCAGACAUGGCUGCCAGAAGCAGCGGCGCCGGGCAUCUUCACUGUUGCGCACACCCUACAUGGUUGGGGUUUGUGUUUGGUCUGACCCAUGGCCCUUUGGGCCUAGACCCUUAUCGGCCUAUUAACAUAAUUAAAAAUAAACUUUUUCCUGGGCCUAUGAACCAAGCCCAGUUGUUGUUCACCCUAAACCCACUUGCAACACCAACCCAUAUGGCUUAGGUCUACCGCAACAUAACCAAGCCCCUGAAGGGCUUUCCGAGUUUCAUGCAUCUAACCACACUAGAUCCCAGCUCGUAGAUGGUGAUUUUGUGCACCUAGCCUGUGAUGCACUCGAUCGCACCCCCUGGGAACAUACGCGCUGUGAAGCAGCAUAUUCGUGCCUCCAUGUUUGGGCCUGUAGCCCAUCUGAGCCCAACCUAGCCUAAGUUUUGGGCUUGGGCUGCACAUUUCAAAUUACUCUGCCCAGCUUGUGGGCUUUGGCCUAUUAUUUUCGGCCCUAAGUUUAAAUGCCUAUUUUUUAGGCCCUAUGAGUUUUAUAAUUUUUCACCCACACUUUAAUUUUUUUGCCCGAAGUCCAAAUAAUUAAUUCAAUUAUAAUUCUAGACCUAAAGUUCUAUUUGCAUAUUUUAUUGUUGUAUAUUUCUGUAUAUAUAUUUGUGUUUGUCUGUAGGAACAUAUGAACCUGAAGUUCAUAAUUAUUUCGAAGCCUGAAGUUUUCCUUAAAAAACAUCACCCAUGAAAAACACAAAGUUUUUUCAUGUAAAUUAAACCAAUAUAUGUCUAUUAGAAUCUGAAUGUUCUACUUCUAUGUGAAUGGAUUGAUUUUUUUUCUCCAUCACACUAACCACAUUUUGUCUAUUUAUUUUGAGAUAGGGGCAUGUCGACUUUAAAAAACUCGACUUCACCGCUUUAGAGAUCUCUAGAAGGAACUAACUCAAGUGGGUCCAAGAUGUGAAGCUCCACCUCACUGUAAAGAAUUUGUGUCCCGCCAUUGAAGAUGAGAUGGAUAACCUGGUUGGCGAAACUGAGAAAGCCACUGCCAUGAUCUUCAUCCAAAGACAUAUUCAUGACGCAUUGCAAACCGAGUACCUUGCUGUGAAAGAUCCAUGAGCACUCUGGGUCGCUUUGGCUGAUCAUUUUGAUUACCAAAAGGACAUCUUCUUGCCUAAAGCAAGACAUGACUACAAACAUUUGCACUUCCAAGACUUUAAGUCUGUGAAUGAAUAUAAUUAUGAAGUUUGUCGAAUCCGAUCACUUCUCAAGUUUUGUAACAAGAACUUGACCAAAGAGGAUCUCCCGGAGAAGACCUAUUCGACCUUCUCUGCUACUAAUAUUGUCCUGUAACAAAAUUUUAAGGCUCAGAAGUUCACCAAUACAAUGAUCUAACAAGUUGCUUACUAAGAAUGUAAAGUUGCACAUCGGAAACCUGAGCAAAUAAAAUACAACACGUAAUUAAUGAUUCCACUACUAAUAAAACCGAAGGUUUUUUUUUUGAGAUAAAACUCCACUGGUCCAUCUUUCUGAAAUCUUGCCAGUUGUUUGAUAAAUCGUCUUCGAUCUGCAAAAUCACGCGUAAUCAUAAGGUAAUACAUAGAAAAGUAUAAGUCACAAGGGACUAAUUUGCUGGGGAAGAAAAUUGAGGAAAGAGGGCUUGUGGAACAAUGGCUGGAAGUUGAAGCACACAACUUCCACCCACCUAGCUACAAUAUGGUCCUUCACAUUCUCUUUGCCUCAGUUUUGGGCUUUCCUUCAGACCCUAAGAUCAUACAAGAAAGUGAAGAAAAGUUGGGAAGAGUGUUGGACAUUUACGAGGAGCGGCUGUCGAAGAGUAAGUACUUGGCUGGUGAUUUCUUUAGCCUUGCUGAUUUUAGCCACCUUCCGCUCACUCAAUUCUUGGUGGCUAAUAUGGGGAAGGAGUAUAUGAUCAAGGACAGAAAGCAUGUCUCUGCAUUGUGGGAUGACAUUAGCAACAUACCAUCUUGGAAGAGGGUCCUCCAGUUUGGUUCCCCAUUUUAAGGUCGAUGUACCUUUGGAAGAAAAUGUAUGUACAUUGGGUGUACACAAUGGUUUUUCUUGUACUGAUAAUGUGCUGUGUAUGAAAAGUUAUUGUGAAAAGAAGGUUUUACUCUCUCGUACUUUAUAUAAACUUUUGUACCCUGGGGUUUUUUAAGAAUAGAAUGGCAGUUUGAAUAAUCUUCUGUAUUGAUUCAUUAAAAUAUACAAGCUAGGCUAGAGUUCUUAUACAAACUGUAAAGAUACAAUCACAUCCUGUAAUUCCUACAAAUAAGCUAAGUAAAUAUAUUUACAAAAGGAAAGAAUAAAUCGUUGAUAGUCAAUGAUCACCAUGCUACCAAAUGGGAAGGAAAUCAUUCAUAUCAUAACACUCCCCCUCAAGUUGGCAAGUGAAUGUCAAAAACCGCUAACUUGCUCAGCAAAAAAUGGAAUUGUUCUUUUCCUAAAGGCUUCGUGAAUAUGUCAGCAACUUGCCUUGAAGAUGGAACAAAUUUGGUGACUACCUUUCCUUGAAUUUUAUCUCGAACAAAAUGACAGUCAAUCUCUAUAUGGCGUGUCCGCUCAUGAAAAACAGGAUUAGCGGCAAUGUGAAAAGCCGCUUGGUUAUCACAGUGUAAAACAGCAGCGCCCAUAUCUUUAAUACGUAAAUCACAUAAAAGACUUUGUAACCAGGUGAGCUCACAACAGGUAGCAGCCAUUAAACGGUACCCUGCUUCUGUAGUAGAUAAUGAGACAGUCUUCUGCUUUUUGCUUUUCCAUGAAAUUAAAGAAUCUCCAAGGAAAACACAAUAUCCGGUAGUAGAACGUCGAAUCACCGAACACCCUGCCCAAUCGGCAUAAAAAAAAGCCUUCAAUUGUAACAAACUUUGUGAGGAAAACAAAAUACCUUGACCUGGAGUGUCCUUCAAAUAUCUCAAAACACGUAAAGCUGCAUCAUAGUGAGGCUUGCGAGGAUGUUGCAUGAAACGACUCAACGUGUUCACUGCAAAAGUAAUAUCGGGUCUACUGAUAGUUAAAUAUAUCAAACGUCCUAUUAAUCUUUGAUAGAUGGACAUAUCGUGAAGUAAAUCUCCUUCAUUAGGAAGUAGCUUCAGAUUUUGUUCCAUGGGGAAGCUAGCUGAUCGUGCUCCCAAAAGACCCAAAUCUUUCAAAAUGUCCAAUAAAUAUUUUCUUUGAGAAAUAAAGAUCCCCUUUUUUGAACGAGCAAUCUCUAUUCCUAAAAAAAUAUUUAAGGGCUCCUAAAUCUUUGAUGCAGAAGCGUUUAUUCAGAAAAGAUUUAAGAGAACCAAUAGCCGUCAUGUCAUUACCAGUGAUCAAGAUAUCAUCAUCGUAAAUAAGGAGAGCUGUGAACGAUUUGCCAACUUUUCUUGUAAAAAGGGAAUAAUUGGCUUUGGACUAUGUAUACCCAGCUGCACAAAUAGCCUCAGAAAACUUAAAAAACCACUGCCGAGAAGCCUGCUUUAAUCCAUACAAAGACUUGUGAAGACGACAUACUAAAUGCUCCCCCUGUCGCCGAAGACCAUGAAGUGGAACCAUAUAUAUUUCCUCAUAGAGAUCACCAUGUAGGAAGGUGUUGUGGACAUCCAUUUGAUGUAGGGACCAGCCACUAGCAGCUGCAAUAGCAAGCAGACAACGAAACGUAACCAACGUUGCAGUCGGGGAAAACAUAUCCUGGUAAUCAACACCUUCAAUUUGAGUGUAACCCUUGGCCACUAAACGAGCUUUGUAACGCUCAAUAGUGCCAUUGGACUUGUGCUUGAUUUUGUAUACCUAACGACAACCAAUAGGGGCCUUGCCAGGUGGAAGUGCAGUCAAAGACCAAGUGGCAUUAACUUCGAGAGCUUGAAUCUCCGAGGUCAUGGCUUCUCACCAUCGAGGAUCUUUAGCAGCCUCUGCAUAUGUGUUAGGUUCAACAGAGAGAGUAAUAUUGGCAAUAAAACUUUGAUAAGAUGGAGAAAGAUUUUUAUAAGAAAUAUACUUGCAUAAAGGAUGGUGAGUACAUUUUUUAGAAGAACCUGGAGUCGAUGCAUUGAGUGGGGAAGACGAGGAAACAUGAGAGCAAGCAUAGUCAUCAAGGUAAGUAGGUGUACGUUUAGGCCUAUCAGAGUGGCGUAUGGAGGGGGCAACAUGUGGACUAGGUGAUGGAGGAGGGCUAUUGGUGACUGUUUGGUUUGAGAGAGGUGUAGCAAUGAAGUUGGAUGAAGUCUCAUUGUCAACCUGAGGGGAUGGUGAGAUGGACUCAACAUGAGUGGGUGGGGUCUCAAUGUCAUCAUGAGUAGGAAGAGGCAAGACAGGUUCUUGAGUUUGGGGUUAAAGGAGUGGUGAUAAAAGGAAAAUUAGACUCAUGAAAAAGCAACAUCUUGGCUGGUGAAUACUUUGUGAGUAGAAAGGUUGUACAACUUAUAUGCUUUUUUACCAAAGGGAUAUCCUAUAAAGACACAUUUGCUGGCUCGUGCAUCAAAUUUAUGAAGAGGUUGAACAUUGGUGGCAUAAGCUAAACAUCCAAAAGUACGCAAGUGUGCAUACGAUGGUGGACGGUCAUAAAGAACCUCAAAAGGUGAUUUAUUGGACAAAAGUGGUGUGGGUAAGCGAUUUAUGAGGUAGAUUGCAGUAAGGACACAAUCUCCCAAAAAAUACAAAGGUAAGUGACUCUGAAAGCGUAGUGCCCUGGCCACUUGCAAAAUAUGACGGUGUUUUCGCUUGACCACUCCAUUUUGUUGUAGAGUAUCUGUGCAAGAACGUUAAAAAAUCAUACCAUUCUCAGAAAAGAAAGAAUGUAGGGACAAAAACUCACUACCAUUAUCAGUUCGAAUUUUCUUAAUUUUGUGAUGGAAUUGAGUUUCUACAUAAGAAAAGAAAGUUUUAAUUAACUGUUGUGUUUCAGAUUUAUGUCUCAUCAAAAAGAGCCAAGUGGUUUGAGAAAAAUCAUCAACAAUUGUUAAGAAAUAUCGAGCCCCAUUAUAAGUAGAAAUUUUGUGCGGUCCCCAAAUGUCACAAUGAACAAGCUAAAAAAUGUGUUUACUGGAAAUAUGACUUAAUGGAAAAGGCAAUCUAGUUUGCUUUACUAAUGGGCAAACAUCAUAAGGUUUAUUUGAAUAAGAAUAAGCAUCUAACGAUUGCUUAGCUAAAAGGUGGAGUCGUUGUGGAGAGGGAUGACCAUGACGACGAUGCCAUGAAAUGGAAUUAACGCAACUAGGUGAAGGUGAAGUGGUGCGGUUACUGUUUGGUUUGGUGAGAUAGUAAAGACCUCCACGUUGUCUACCCCAUCCAAUCAUCUUUCUCAUCUUUAAGUCCUGUAAGACACAAAAAUCCGAAAAAAAUGUUAUGGAGCAUUGAAGGGAUUUUGUUAAACGACUAACGGAUGUCAAAUUAACCAAAAAUGAGGCAAUUCGUAAUACGUUAGUCAAUGAAAGUUUGGGAUCAAAAGUAAAAUUGUCAAUACUACUAAUUGAAACCCUUUCACUAGUCAGAAGUUUUCCUGGUGGUAGAGACUUGUUCACAAUAGAGUUUGAUAGGGGAAGCGCUGUAACAUGAUCCGUGGCGCCACUAUCCAUUAUCCAUUCUUGUGAAUGAUGGGAAAACAAACCUGAGAUUGCAUUGGUCUGUGCUUCAGAUGGCAAAUUUCCAGCCAUCAUAGCAAAGAGUUGUUGAAGCUGCUCAGGAGUAAAAGUCAUCGGUGUUGCUAAUGUAGAGGAAGAAGUUGAAGAAGUUGUUGCUUGAACAUGGUUGGUCGCAGGUUUUCCCUCCUUACCACGGCCCUUUCCCUUGUUCUUUUUAUGGAGACGAUGGUCUUCGGGAUAUCCAUGAAGCUGGUAACAAGUCUCCCUGGUGUGGUGGUCCAUGUCACAAUAAUCGCAAUGUAGCAGCUUGCGAUUCCCUUGCUACCACGGCUAUGUUGAUUACCUCGACCACCUUGAACUGCCAUGGUUGCUCCUUCCACACUUGGUUAUGGGAUGGCUGCAAUUCCACGUUGAUUCUCCUCUUGGUUAACCAUUGAAAAAACUUUGAGCACUGAAGGCAAUGGCUUUACAAGCAGAAUCUGACCUCUCACUGCUGCAUAUGAAUCAUCAAGCCCCAUUAAAAAUUGCAUAACCUUAUUUUGCUCCUCUUUCUCGCUACGGUAUUCCAUGGCACCAUAUGAGCAGUUUUUAUGGCUGCCGUAAGAAGAUAAUUCAUCCCAUAAACCCUUCAAUUGGGAAUAAUAGUCAGACACAGACAUCUGAUUUUGAGUGAAGCGUGCAAUAUCACACUGAAUCUCAAAAAUUCGUAGGACGUUGUCUUGUGAAAAAUGAAUCUUGAGGUCCUCCCAAAUAGCAUGUGCAGUUUCUGCAUAAACCACACUGUUUGAUAACCCAUAACUCACAUAAUUUAAAAUCCACAUGAGAACCGUGUCUUUACAGCGCUGCCAAAGAGCAGCUUCAGUUGCUUUCUUGUCUGACGGCUUCUUCACAGACCCAUCAACAAAACCAAAUUUGUUCUUUGCAUUAAGGGCAAUACGCAUUGAAUGAGACCAUGUGCUAUAAUUGUUUCCAGUAAGUAGAGUAGAAACAAGAUGCAUCCCUGGAUUAUUAGAGUGAUGAAUAUAGAAAGGGCUUGAGGGAUCGUUCGACACCUCAACCGACUUGGAGUCUCCCAUGGCAAAAAAAGCGACUUUGCUCACAAGAAAAACCGAAAAAAGGAACGAAGAGAAACCAAGGAAACAAAAAAAAUCCUAGGAUCUUGGACUCUCUGGUAUCAUCUUAAGAAUAGAAUGGCAGUUUGAAUAAUCUUCUGUAUUGAUUCAUUGAAAUAUACAAGCUAGGCUAGAGUUCUUAUACAAACUGUAAAGAUACAAUCACAUCCCGUAAUUCCUACAAAUCAGCUAAGUAAAUAUAUUUACAAAAGGAAAGAAUAAAUCGUUGAUAGUCAAUGAUCACCAUGCUACCAAAUGGGAAGGAAAUCAUUCAUAUCAUAACAGGGGUUGGUCAAAAUAAAUAAUCAGAACAACUUGUUGGAAUAAUGUGCUCUUUCCUUUAUCAUUUGCUUUAUGUCAUGGUUAUCUGCCGAUCUGUGGUCAUUUUUAUGUGUCAUCUUCCUUCUAUUUUCACUUGAUGAUCGGCACUGCAAGGUCAAGCUCAUCUCUGAUGUUCGAACUUGUGAACUACAUAAUACUUCCCCAAAUUAGGGUUUAUCAAUAGUAAAAUAUGUGUGACUUUAACACCACUUGGCAGUGUGAAGUCGCACUGAGAAGAUUAAGUAGAUAAAUACAUGGGUUAUAGUAUGUAAAAUUAUAAUAUCACGUGACAAUGCAACAAUCAUUUUUAAAGGAUUAAGUACAUAAAUACACGUGUAUAAUAUGAAUUAAAAAGAUCAAGUACAUAAAUACAUGUGUAUAAUAUGAAUAUCAUUCAUGUAAGUGUCUCACGUGAGUGGCUUAAAGGAGACAGUUAUUCAUCAUAUAUUCAUUGUUCAUCAUAUGGAUACAAAACAAGGCAGAUAGAUAUUCAUAACGUCAACGCAUUUCAGAUGCUUUCAUCACAUUUGGCACCUUUUACUCGUCUUAUGUUAUGGCCUCCAUUUUAUAUGCCAUAUGUCUUAUGUUAUGCCCUCCAUUUUAUAUGACAUAUUUAUAAGAAAUUGUUAUUGACAUUGUACAUAAUUGUCUUUCCUAUUGACACUGUACAUAAUUGUCUUUCCCUUGCUAUUUAGAGCAUCUUCAAAAUAGAUGUCAAAAUAUCCAAAUUAGCAUUAACAAUCAAAAGAUAGCAACAAUUUUCCAACCGAAAAACCAAAUUUGAUGUGGCAUGAUAUGGAUUGGCAACCAUCAUCCUUGCUGCCCAAAUUAACAGUAACUUCAAAUCUUUUUUUAAUUAAUUAUUGACUGCAUUUUAUUAAUUUCAUUAUUGUUUUUUAUUUCAAAACAUUUAUUAUAACAUUUUAAUAUAAUAAAAUAAUAGCUUAAUUGACACAUCGGGUGGAGAGAAAACCUAAAAGAUGUCAAACUACCAUAUUGACUGUCAAAUUUAAAUUUUAUGUUUAAACUUAGGUAAAUUACAUUUUACCCCCUCUAGUUGAGGUGAACAAAUUUGUUGGAAUUUUGGAUUGACGGGCGGAGGCGCUCCACUCUAACAAUACUAAUAUUGUUCCCAACUUAGCAAUUACUACCUACCCAAUCCGUCAGGUGUGGGGACAUGAGUAUAAGUUAAAGUGAGAUAAUUAUAUUUAAACUCAUUAUUUCUCUUUCCCAUGUGGGAUAGUCAACAAAAAUAGAUGUUAAGUAAUGACGUGCUAAUAAUAUGUUCCUCAUUUAUGCUGACGUGACCGACUACCAACUUGUGCCACAUAACCAUUAAAUUAAAAGACUUUUCGACUAGAAAAAUGAUCUUCGAAAUGCAUCCUUCUUUAAUCUCUGAAAAUAUAAUUUAUCCUUUAAAAUUUAGCAUCUCUUUUUGAAGAUGCUGCUAAGAAAACUACAAAUGGAUGGAUGUAUGCAUGUGAGCAGCCCCAACGACCCUCCACUCCAAUUUUAAAUUCUUCCAUCAAUUGUUGGGGUGCUAUAUAAUAAGAAGUAAAGAACCACAAGCUGGAGUUUGCAGACUGAAUCUAAAUCCUUCGGUUUUAACACUAAGAAGUCAUAACAUGGUGGUGAAGGUGUAUGGGCCUCUGUACGCCGCCCCAAAGCGUGUGCUGGUAUGCCUUGUUGAGAAAGAGGUUGACUUUGAGACAGUCCCCAUUGAUCUUCUCAAGGGAGAGAACAAACACCCUGAUUUCCUCAAGUUACAGGUUAGCUAAUUAGUUACCUCUUAAUGCAAUUGUUUCUGAUUAGUGAUUGUUUUACUCAUGGUAUGAAUUGAGAUGGUCUUUUGUAAAUAUGUAAUUAUUUCUUUAUUUUCCGAUCGUGACAAAAGAAACACUUAUUCUUUCUUCAACAAUUUAUGCUUUUAGUGGACUUCUCAAUAGGAUUUAAACCCAGAUGAAGUUCUGAUCAUCUGUUAGAGAAAAAAGAAUGAAUAAGUAUGUAAAUUAUUUACUUGUACAUUGGUUUUGUAUUGGUUUGUCUUUAAUUGCAGCCAUUUGGAACAGUUCCUCUCAUUCAAGAUGGGGAUUAUACUCUAUAUGGUAUGCUAUGCUUUCUUUCUAGCACUUGAUCUUUUAGUUUUUAUUAUUUAUAUUGAGGGUAAAUUACACAAAACUAUCUUAACUAUUGGGUCAACUACAGUUUCAUACCCCAUCUUUAAAAAAUUUCAAUGUCAUACCUUAUCUACGAAUUUAUUGUAAUGUCAUACAUUCCGUUAGUUUGUCUGUCAAUUCCUCCGUUAAAUGCUGACGUGGCUUAAAAAAUUUAAUUAAAUAUUAAAAACUAAAAAAAUAAAAUCAUUUAAUUUUUUUCUUUGCAUGGGGGACCCAAGGGAUGGGCAAAAUACUCAUGGGUUUGGGUAACAGCGGUUACCCGUCUAUUUAAAGUUCACAUUUACGAUUAUGGGUAACCGUUUGGACGAACAAAUGGUUAUGGCUAUAACCGUUUAUCCGUGAAAUUUAAAUGGGCGAUUAUGAGUAUUAUCCGCGGUUAUAACGGGUAUCCAUCGGUUAUGGGCAUUACUUACGGUUAUAACGGAUACCCAUUUACCCAUUUAAUUUAAUAUAUGUAAAAUUUAAAAACUAUUGAGCGAACUCUAAAAUUAGUAGGACUAUUGAGCAAACUCUAAAAUACAUGCGUAAUCAUUGUGUUCUUCUUGAAAACCGCCUACUCCAGCUUUGCGCAUAUCAUGUCAAACGUUCCAUUGCUCAUCUGAAACGCCUUUCGAAACUCCUCCUUCGAAACGUCUGGGUGGCCUAAAUUCUCCCACCACACCUUGGACCUGACCUUCACCCAAAGCCUCAUGUGUGGAUCCGAAAUCGUAGCACUCAAAAAUUAGUAGGACUAUUGAGCGAACUCUAAAAUACACGUGUAAUGAUUAUGCGUGUUUUGAAUAAUCUAGUAUUCAAGAUAAUGACUACUUUUUGUUUUUAUAAACUUUACUUUGUAAUCAUAUGGAUUAUAAUUAAAAACUUGCUUGGAUGUAGCAGAAAAAUAUCGUUCAUAAACUUUAAUUUCAAUUAUUGGAAUUGUAUGAGGACUGAAAUGUUUAAAAUAGGGAAAUGCAUGCUAAAAUUUACCUAUAACGGUGUUUAAUUGUCAGAAAACAAAAAUUAUGACAAAUUUUUCUUUUUUAAUUUUCAAGUUGUUAAAAAAAAAAAACAUGUAAACAGGUGAAAAAAGGAGUAAAUGGGUAAAAAAAGGAUAAAUGGGUUCAAAAACGGAUAAAUAGUUAUAGUUAAAUAGGUAAACGGUUAUAGUUAAAUGGGUACACGGUUAUGGGUAUGAUUAACUGUUUAUAUACAGUUAUAGGUAUGAGUAUAACUGUUUAUGCAAUUACCCAACGGGUAAAUGGUUAUGCGAGUAUGAACAUAAAUGGUUAUAGGUAAAUAACCGCGGUUACACGCCCACCGUAACGUUGCCCAUCCCUAGACCCAGCCUUUAUCCCCCUCACCUUUCUUCCCCGCCCCAACCCAAACCUAGAUCCCACCCGCUCCGAUUUUCCCCCAAGCCACCCCCCAAACUAAUCACCCUCAACCUUCUUCCCCAUCUUUCUCCCCUGAACUCAUCACCCUCACCCUUAUACUUUCUCUCUAAAAUCCACUCCCUUUCUCUCUGUAAAAUUUCCAUACCAAAAUUAACGGCAUAUUCCUCUCUCUCUCUCUCUCUGUUCUUCCUCCCAAAUUUUCUCGGAAAAUCCUUCAUUGCAAACCCAAGAACCCAUCAGAAACGUUUAUUUUCCCGGGAACCAAUUAGCCCCCAAAGAAAUUUUUUGAUUCAAAUUAAGGGUUGCUUUCCCAAAUUUUUUGAUUCACUGCAAACCCAAGAACCCAUCAGUGAGUAGGGACUGAUUCAAAAGAAUGCUGGUGAAGAUUAUGAGGUGGUGACCAUGGCUGCAUCUGACGAUGAGGUGAGGCUAGUGUACAGAGGUUGGAGGGUUAGGAUCUGGUGAGGGAGGGUGCAGGCGGGGGCCGGUCCACAAGACAGAAAAAGAGGAGAAGUGGACGGCGGAGAUUAGGUGGAAGGGAUCCAAGGUCAAGGUUGGGACCAAUGAGGCUGCUGUUGCAGUGUGAAAGGGAGAGAGAAUACGGGAGGAAAGGGGAGAGAGAGAGGGGAAGGAUGGUUCUGGGCACAACAAGGGAGUGAAGUGGGGGAGGAAGGUGGGUGAGGUUGGUUUUUAUUAGGGUGCCAUGCAAAAAAAAUAUUAAAUGAUUUUAUUUAUUUUUAGUUUUUAAUAUUUAAUUAUGUUUUUUAAGUCACGUCAGCAUUUAACGGAGGAAUUGACAGACAAACUGACGGAAUGUAUGACAUUGCAACAAAUUCGUACAUAAGGUAUGACAUAAGAUGAGGUAUGAAACUAUGGUUGACCCAAUAAUUGAGGUAAUUUUAUGUAAUUUACUCUUAUUCUGAUACAAAUGAUAGUGGGCUAUGAAAUCUCAAUUGCAUUGGUGAAUAUUCGUAAUUGAGUAACAACUAUUUUUGCUAGCACAUGAUAUAUUUUACUUUUGGGUCCAAAUUUAUCGUCUUUUGAGAAUUUCCUUAGCAUCAGAUUGACAUUACAAUACACUUGCUCAUUGGUUUCUUAACAUCACCAAUACAAUGAUCUAACAAGUUGUUUAAGAAUGUAAAGUUGCACGUACCAAAUAAAAUACAACACAUAACUAGUGAUUCCACUACUAAUAGAACUUGCUUGAAAGGUGUUCGAUGAAAUGCCUGAACUGAUCACCAAUACAAUGAUCUAACAAGUUGCUUACUAAGAAUGUAAAGUUGCACAUCGGAAACCUGAACAAAUAAAAUACAACACAUAAUUAGUGAUUCCACUACUAAUAGAACCGAAUUUUUUUAUUUUUAUUUUUAUUUUUUUGAGAUAAAACUCCACUGGUCCGUCUUUCUGAAAUCUUACCAAUUGUUUGAUUAAAUUGUCUUCGAUCUGCAGAAUCACGUGCAAUCAUGAGGUACUACGCAGAAAAAUAUAAGUCACAAGGGACUGAUUUGCUGGGAAAGACAAUUGAGGAAAGAGGGCUUGUGGAACAAUGGCUGGAAGUUGAAGCACACAACUUCCAGCCACCAAUCUACAACUUGGUCGUUCACAUUCUCUUUUCCCCAGUUUUGGGUUUUCCUUCAGACCCCAAGAUCUUACAAGAGAGUGAAGAAAAGCUGGGAAAAGUGCUGGACAUUUACGAGGAGCAACUGUCGAAAUGCAAGUACUUGGCCGGUGAUUUCUUCAGCCUUGCUGAUCUUAGCCACCUUCCAUUCACUCACUUCUUGGUGGCUAAUAUGGGGAAGGAGUAUAUGAUCAGGGACAGAAAGCAUGUCUCUGCAUGGUGGGAUGACAUUAGCAACAGACCAUCUUGGAAGAGGGUCCUACAGUUUGGUGACCCAUUUUAAGGUUGAUGUACCUCUGGAAGAAAAAUUGUGUACUACGGGUGUGUACAAUUGUUUUUCUUGCAGUGAUGACGUGUUGUGUAUGAAACAUUAUUGUGAGAAGAAUGUUAAAUUCUCGUGUAGUUUAUAUAACUAUUGUACCCUGGAGUUGGGCAAAAUAAAUAAUCAGAACAGCUUGUUGGAAUAAUGUGCUAUCUCCUUGAUCAUUUGCUUUAUGUCAUGGCUUGUGAGAUGUUUUUUAUUUCUCUGUAAGACGUAUUCGACCUUCCAUUUGCUAAUUGGCUGAUCUUUGAUCGUUUUUCUGCUUCAUCUUCCUUCUAUUUUUUUGUUUCUGGUUUUUUCAGUAGUCCUCAUCUGUGAUGCCCGAACUUGUGAACUACAGGGUUGAUACCUCUCCAAAUUAGGAGUAGCAAAAAAUAGAGUACUGCAAUAUGCAUGACUUUAAUGUCACGUGACAGUAUGAUAAUCACAUUAAAAAGAUCAAGUAAAAAAUACACGUGUAAAUAUGUAUAAUUAUGGCAUUAUAUGACGGUGUGACAGACUCACUGAAAAAAAAAUCUACAAACUUAAGAGCUUAGUUUUGCUAGAAAGGGUCAUGCUUGUACCUUGUAGGUUUAUGGGCCUUCUUCAGGCUGAAUUUGUUGUUAAUUUUAAUUGCUUUUGAAAACCUCAUUAGUUUUGUGAAUGUUUGAUAUCAGAUCGUUACGAAAAAAGCUAAACAAAAUUGUUUAUAUUAAUUUUCCAAAAAAAAAUUGUUUAUAUUAAUACACUAAAGAUUGUAUGAUACUGAUCAAAAUCAAAUUACAAACAUGUACAUCUAUUAUAUUUGGACCGUGAGCUUUGCAUAUACGUUAAAGAACAAUGUUCGACUCUUUAUAUAUAAAGAGUAUUUUGAAACGUGUAACUUAUUAAACUCACAUAAAAAGUUAGGUUUUUAUCAUAAAUGGUCCUUAAAAUUGACCCACCCUAUCAAGAUGGUACCUGAAAUUGAAAAUCAAUCAAUUUGAUCCUUGAAAAUGGAUAUCGCAAAUCAAUAUGGUCAUUCCGUCACAAAUCUGUCAAAAUUCUAUCAUGUACUAAUGUGGCACAUAACUGGAUCCCAUAAGUCUAAUUGAAUAUUGACAUUUGGAUUAAAAAUUAUUAAUAAUAAAUAUCUUUUUUGUUGGGUUAUUUUAUUCACACCCUACAUUUUGUUGAUUACACUUCACAUACUUAAUAAACCCCACUUUUACUUUUUGAACUAAAAUUUAUCUUAAUAUACCCCACAUUUUUUCCAAUACUACCCUCACACCCAACAUACACAAUAAUAAGACACCUAACGCUCAAACUCUUUGUCAAUAUUUAGGUUUAUGUCAAUUGAGUGUUUAGUUUUUUGUCAAUUAGGGAUUUUAGAUUUCGUAUUUGAAGAAAUUGGAUCAAAAGCAUCGAAUGCAAACCAAGUUCUGCAAAAAAUAGAAUAAAGCCUUUGUAAUCUUAGCAAGUGAAUUCAAAAGGUUGUUCAAGAGAAUUUCGGAAGUGUCCAUCAUCAAUUCAUCAUCAAGCCAUCACAUUGAAGACUAUUACUUCUAUUGGCUCGAGUAAGGAGAAAUAAUGUGACAAGUUGCCCUAAGUCGCUUCAUGAGGUUUUCAAUAUUUAUUUUCUGUAUACGAUCAAUAGGCAACAGCAAACUCCAUCAUAUCAAAAGCAAACCAGUUCAAUUUUCUAUGAAGUGAAUUUUGCCAAUCGAAUGAAAUAUUAUAAACAUAAACUGAUAUGUGAUAAAUGACAUUGCAAUGAAUUGUAUCGUUGAGUUCAACAUCGGGUGAGAGUGACUUCGAGAGCUUGAAGAAAAUAAUAUACACUAACCUGUGCACAAAAUGAAUGGAAUUUGCUUUGCAGCCAUAAAAAAUUCAAUUCGUUAAUUGAAUCUCCAACAUAUCAUUUU